rnacentral:lncRNA from 1 species
UGCAUCAUAAUAAUCUUCACAUUUUAGUUGCAUCAUAAUAAUCUUCUUCUUCUAGUCUUCUUCUUCUAACUUUCUUCUUUCCCAUUUUACAGAUUUGCUUAAGAUCACGGAAGCUUGGGUUGAUGGAGUGCUUGUAUUUAGUUUUUGUUUUGACCUUGUGAAACUUGUUACCUAUGGAUGAAACUGUGUAAUAUUGAUGAAACUAUGUAUAUGUACGGAUGAAACUUGCUAGUAUUGGUAACAUGUAUUGGAUAUAUGUGUUCAUGACUAUUGGUAAUAUGUGUUGAAUAUGCUAUAUUGGUCAUAUAAAUAUAUUUGUGUUUGAUAUUCUGUGAAAAUGAAUUGAUAUAAGAAAAAACAAAAUUAAAUGGGGCAAUAUAGUCACUUUGCCAUCUGCUGGCAGAUGGCAAAGAGCUUUUCCAUCAGCUGGCAGAUGGCAAAGAGGCCACGUGUCAUCUACACGUAAAAUUUGGGCUGACCUAUUUCGGCUCUUUUCCAUCUGCCAGCAGAUGGCAAAGCUCUUUGCCAUGUGCUGGCAGACGGCAAAGCAUGCAGCCUUUGCCAUCUGCUGGCACACGGCAAAGCAUGCAGCCUUUGCCAUCCACUGGCAUACGGCAAAGAGCCUACAUACUUUGCCAUCUGCUGGCGGAUGGCAAAGAGCCUGCAGCCUUUGCCAUCUGCUGGCUGACGGCAAAGUAUGCCGUUAGCCUACUAACGGGGCUAACCCCGUUAAGAGGCUUUGCCAUCUGCCAGCUGAUGGCAAAGCCACAGGCUCUUUGCCAUCCGCCAACCAUGCCUUUGCCAUCUGCCAUGGCAGAUGGCAAAGUGCCAGAUUCCAGUAGUGCAUGUAACCACACAUGAUAUAAGAAAACAACAGAUACCCUGCUUUAGCUGAGGCUCCGGUUUAUUAUAUUGAUCAUAAUAUAUACAUUGUCAUAACUAUGUACAUAAGAAGAGCAUGUGGCUCAAGUAUAGUAAGGCCGAAGAUGAGCUAUAUUCCACGGCCGUUGGGUCUCCUCCUCCGAUUUACGUGAAUCUAUGUGCUCUCGAACAUCGAUAAGGUAGUAUGAGCCGUUGUGCAGAUUUUUGCUGACCAUAAAAGGUCCUUCCCAAGGUGGGGACAACUUGUCCAUAUCAGUCUGAUCCUGGAUGAGCCGGAGCACCAGAUCGUCUUCUUGAAAAGUUCUGGUCUUAACCCGGCGGCUGUGAUAAUGUCGCAGAUCUUGUUGAUAAAUCACCGAACGUGCCGCUGCAAGAUCACGCUCCUCAUCUAACAGGUCCAGUGAGUCCUGACGUGCUUUCUCAUUAUCAGCUUCAACGUAAGCUGCCACACGGGGCGAGUCAUGACGGAUGUCACUAGGGAGAACUGCCUAUGUUCCGUAAACCAUGAAGAAGGGCGUGUAACCCGUAGAUCUGUUCGGUGUGGUAUUGAUGCUCCAUAACACGGAAGGUAACUCCUCCACCCAACAGCCCGGCGUCCGCUUUAAAGGAACCAUAAGUCGGGGUUAUCUGCCGGGCCAAAGUUUCAUCAUCUGGUAACUCGCCCCAGUUCAUGUAUGCCAGGUAUGGGACCAUCCAAUCCGGAAUAACGUGAAGAGCCGCCACCAAUUGAGCCUCCGGGUCAGGCACAGCCAAAUCCUCCUCCGUAGGUAUCUUGACUGACGGAUUAUGCAGCACAUCUAGACAGACAUUGGGUGGCACCGGUUUACGUUGAGAGCCUAAGCGACUUAAAGCAUCUGCCGCUUCAUUCUUUCGACGGUCUAUAUGGUCAACCUGAUAACCUUUGAAAUGACCAGCCACUGUGUCCACCUCUCCUCUAUACGCCGCCAAGAGUGGAUCCUUGGAAUCCCAAGUGCCAGACACCUGUUGAGCCACCAGGUCUGAGUCACCAUAGCACUUAACCCGGCUUAAAUUCAUCUCCUUAGCCAUCCGAAGACCAUGGAGCAAGGCCUCAUAUUCAGUUGCAUUGUUAGUGCAAGGGAACAUUAAACGGAGAACAGAACAAAACUUAUCACCUCGUGGGGAAGUUAAUAUGACUCCAGCCCCCGGGCCUUCCAAUUGUCUGGACCCAUCAAAAUGAAUAGUCCAAUAAGUGCUAUCUGGCUUUUCCUCUGGUGCCUGCAACUCUGUCCAAUCAUUGAUGAAGUCCACAAGUGCUUGGGAUUUGAUUGCUAUGCGAGGUGUAUAUUUUAACCCGUGAGGUCCGAGCUCAAUAGCCCAUUUGGCAAUCCGACCGGUUGCUUCUCUAUUUUGGAUGAUAUCCCCUAAGGGGGCGGAACUGACCACAGUGAUAGGAUGACCCUGAAAAUAGUGCUUGAGCUUCUGGCUGGCCAUGAAAACUCCAUACACCAGCUUCUGCCAAUGUGGGUACCUCUGCUUAGACUCAAUAAGCACCUCACUAAUAUAAUAAACCAGCCGUUGAACCAGAUACUCCUUUCCAGCCUCCUUGCGCUCCACAGCAAUAGCCACGCUGACAGCCCGGGCAUUACCAGCCACAUAUAACAACAAGGGCUCUUUAUCAAUAGGAGCAGCAAGGACCGGCGGCUCGGCUAACUGCCGCUUCAAGUCUUCAAACGCUUCAUUAGCGGCCUCACUCCAGACGAAGUCAUCCGUCUUCUUCAACAUCUGAUAUAAAGGGAUGGCCUUCUCCCCAAGGCGACAUAUAAAACGCCUCAAAGCUGCAAUCCGGUCUGCUAGCCGUUGAACAUCAUUGAUACACUUUGGUUUAGCCAAAGAGGUUAUGGCCUUGAUUUUCUCCGGAUUAGCUUCAAUGCCCCUGUUAGACACCAGAAAACCCAAGAGCUUUCCUGCUGGUACACCAAAGACACACUUGGCCGGAUUAAGCAUCAUUUUAUAAACCCGAAGAUUAUUGAAAGUCUCCUUCAAAUCAUCUAUCAAUGUCUCCUCCUUUCUGGACUUCACCACAAUAUCAUCCACAUAAGCAUGAACAUUGCACCCGAUCUGAUUGUGAAGACAAUUUUGUACACAGCGCUGAUAAAUCGCCUGGGCACUCUUGAGCCCAAAAAGCAUUGAUACAUAGCAGAAGGCUCCAAAGGGAGUUAUAAAAGUUGUUUUCUCCUAGUCCUUAACCGCCAUUUUGAUCUGAUGAUAACCAGAAUAAGCAUCCAGAAAACACAAACGGUCAUAACCCGCCGUAGCAUCAAUGAUUUGAUCAAUACGAGGGAGAGCAAAGGGAUCGGCUCGACAUGCCUUGUUCAGAUCUGUGUAGUCCACACACAUAUGCCAAGUGUCAUUCUUCUUAAGCACCAGCACCGGAUUAGCUAGCCAUUCAGGGUGAAAAACUUCCACAAUAAACCUUGCGGCCAAGAGCCGAGCUACCUCCUCACCAAUAGCCUUACGUCUUUCUUCAUUGAACCGACGGAGAAAUUGUCUAACUGGUUUAAACUUGGGAUCAAUAUUAAGAGUGUGCUCAGCGAGUUCCCUCGGUACACCUGGCAUGUCAGAGGGUUUCCAUGCAAAGAUGUCCCGGUUCUCACGGAUGAACUCGAUGAGCGCGCUUUACUAUUUCGGAUCCAAGUUAGCGCUGAUACUAAACUGUUGAGAUGAAUCGCCAGGAACAAAAUCAACGAGUUUAGUCUCAUCAGCCGAUUUAAACUUUAAGGCCGGAUCAUGCUCUGUAGUUGGUUUCUUCAACAACGUCAUAUCUGCCGGAUCAACAUUAUCCUUAUAGAACUUCAACUCUUCUGUUGCACAAACUGACUCAGCAUAAGCCGCAUCACCCUCUUCGCAUUCCAAAGCGAUCUUACAGCUUCCAUGUACUAUGAUGGUUCCCUUGUGACCCGGCAUAACAGGGCCUUGCCAUGAACUUGGCAUAAGUCGGCCGUCCAAACAGGGCAUGAUACGGGCUCUUGAUCUUUACUACUUCAAAGGUCAAUGUUUUUGACCUUGAGUCAUGCUCAUCUCCAAAAGCCGCCUCUAGGGCUAUCUUACCAACGGGAUAUGCUGAUUUGCCAAGCACCACACCAUGAAAAACGGUGUUUGAUGGUUUAAGAUUCUUAUCUGUUAACCCCAUGCGACGGAAGGUUUCAUAAUAAAGGAUGUUGAUACUACUUCCUCCAUCCAUGAGCACCUUGGUGAACUUGUAUCCUCCAACCUGAGGUGCCACCACUAAUGCCAGAUGACCCAGGUUAUCCACCCGAGGCGGAUGAUCUUCUCGACUCCACACAAUCGGCUGUUCAGACUAGCGCAAGUAACGGGGCACUGCCGGUUCGACGGAGUUCACUGCCCUUUUAUGAAGCUUCUGAUCACACUUGCACAGACUUGUGGUGAAAACAUGCUACUGCCUACUAUUCAAUUGCUUCGGGUUGCUCUACUAACCUGAUUGCUGUUGUUGCUGUUGACCCCUUGAUGAUUGUAACCACCUUGGUUGCCUUGAUUUCCAUGUCCGCUCUGAUUACUGUGGAAACUUGAACCAGAACUGCCUCCACCGUAACCUGGCCCAUGAGAUCCGGGGCCUGAACCGCCGCCCGGUCCAUGAUCAUACCGAAAAAAAUCUAAAUUUUUGAAUUCCUGCAUAAUAUAACAAUCCUUCCAGAGGUGUGUGGCCGGCUUAUCCCGCUAUCCGUGCUUCGGGCAAGGCUGGUUCAACAGGUGAGACAGGCGCUCCGAACUAGGACCUGAUCCUCCACCACGCGGGGGCGGUUUACCCUUACGACGCUGGCCCUUGCCCUGCACGUUGGUAUUAGCCACAAAAUCUAAACCGCUAUCCGCUUUACGCUUACCGCUGUGACCCACCGGGUUAUGUUGCUGCCCUUUGGUACUGCCGCUCUUCUUUCCCUUCCCUGUCUUGUCGUCGUCAGACUCGGGGUCCUUGGUACUAUCAGAGUUGGCAUACUUCACCAGAGCUGCCAUAAGUGUUCCCAUGUCAUUGCAAUGGCGUUUGAGCCGUCCCAACUUCAACUUCAGAGGUGCAAACCGGCAAUUGCCUUCCAAUGUUAAAACUGCUGUAUCAUCGUUGAUGCGGUCUGAUGAGUGCAAAAUCUCUGAAACCCGGCACACCCAGCGGGCUGUUGAUUCUCCUUCCUCUUGGACACAGGCAGCUAAAUCCACAAUUGACAUGGGAUGCUUGCACGUAUCCUUGAAAUUCUGGAUGAACCGGGCCCUUAACUCGGCCCAUGACCCAGUGGAGUUGGCCGGCAGGUUUUUCAACCAUGUGCGAGUUGUUCCCUCCAACAUCAUGGUAAAGUAUUUGGCACACGCCACAUCGUCCACAUCCAGCAUCUCUAUUGCCAUAUCAUAGCUUUCCACCCAUGACUCGGGGGGAUAAAUCGGCAGUGUAAUUCGGCACCUUAUGCGGGCCUUUGAAAUCCUUGGGUAGCCGUACAUUGCGCAGUGUUGGGACGAGACAUGGUACCCCCAAAGCACCGGAGGUAACCCCUUGUUCCACCGACGUUGUUGGACGAACCGGGGUAAGUAGGCGGGCCUCAUGCUGCGCUGCUAACUCGGCCUCUCGAUGUGCCCUAGCGCGAUCCACUACAUCCUGAGCAUUGCCACCGCCACCCGCUGGGUUGUGGCCACGGGGCGGAUUACGAUUCCGCGCACUGCUUGAUACGGCCGGUUCAUCGAUAUGCCUAUUGUAGCUCCGGCUCGGGCGGGGAGUAGAAUGAAUCCUUUCGCGGCUAUACGAAUAAGCCUACUGCUGAGUCAAGGCCAUCUGAAGGAGCUCCCCGGCCCGUCGUGUUUCAACUGCCACUAGGGACUCGCCAUCGAUCGGGAGAGCUGCCAAUCGCAAAGCGGCGGCAACGAUGUUAUACAACGGGUUAGAGUAAUGACCCGGAGGCGUUGAGACAUGUCGUGAUGGGACAUCAUUCUGACGAGGCUGAGGGGGCGGAUCCAUCAUGCGCGGCUGAACCAAUGCCUCGGUCCCAGGUGCCUCCGCACGGUUUACCACUGGUUGGUUUGCUGGUGUUGGGGAACGUAGUAAUUUCAAAAAAUUUCCUAUGCACACACAAGAUCAUGGUGAUGCAUAGCAAAGAGAGGGGAGAGUGUUGCCCACGUACCCUCGUAGACCGAAAGCGGAAGCGUUAGCACAACGCGGUUGAUGUAGUCGCACGUCUUCACGAUCCGACCGAUCAAGUACCAAACGUACGUCACCUCCGAGUUCAGCAAACGUUCAGCCUGAUGACUUCCCUCGAACUCCGAUCCAGCCGAGUGUUAAGGGAGACUUUCGUCAGCACGACAACGUGGUGAUGAUGUUGAUGUUCUACCGACGCAGAGCUUCGCCUAAGCACCGCUACAGUAUUAUCGAGGUGGACUAUGGUGGAGGGGGGCACCGCACACGGCUAAGAGACGAUCAACUUGAUCAACAUCUGUGUCUAGAGGUGCCCCUGCCCCUGUAUAUAAAGGAGCAAGGGGGGAGAGGUGCCACCAACCUUGGGGCGCGCUAGGAGGAGUCCUACUCCCAUCGGGAGUAGGACUCCCCCCUUUCCUAGUUGGAAUAGGACUUGGGAGGGGGGAAGAAGGAAAGAGGGGGGUCGGCCCCCUUUGCCCUAAACCAAUUCGGUUUGGGCCUUGGGGGGNNNNNNNNNNNNNNNNNNNNNNNNNNNNNNNNNNNNNNNNNNNNNNNNNNNNNNNNNNNNNNNNNNNNNNNNNNNNNNNNNNNNNNNNNNNNNNNNNNNNNNNNNNNNNNNNNNNNNNNNNNNNNNNNNNNNNNNNNNNNNNNNNNNNNNNNNNNNNNNNNNNNNNNNNNNNNNNNNNNNNNNNNNNNNNNNNNNNNNNNNNNNNNNNNNNNNNNNNNNNNNNNNNNNNNNNNNNNNNNNNNNNNNNNNNNNNNNNNNNNNNNNNNNNNNNNNNNNNNNNNNNNNNNNNNNNNNNNNNNNNNNCGGUAACCUCCCGCUACUCCGGUAAAAUCCUGAUUUCACCCGGAACACUUCCGAUAUCCAAACAUAGGCUUCCAAUAUAUCAAUCUUCAUGUCUCGACCAUUUCGAGACUCCUCGUCAUGUCCGUGAUCACAUUGGGACUCCGAACAACCUUCGUUGCAUCAAAACAUAUAAACUCAUAAUAUAACUGUCAUCGUAGCAUUAAGCGUGCGGACCCUACGGGUUCGAGAACUAUGUAGACAUGACCGAUACACGUCUCCGGUCAAUAACCAAUAGCGGAACCUGGAUGCUCAUAUUGGCUCCUACAUAUUCUACGAAGAUCUUUAUCGGUCAGACCGCAUAACAACAUACGUUGUUCCCUUUGUCAUCGGUAUGUUACUUGCCCGAGAUUCGAUCGUGGUAUCUCAAUACCUAGUUCAAUCUCGUUACCGGCAAGUCUCUUUACUCGUUCCGUAAUACAUCAACCCACAACUAACUCAUUAGUUGCAAUGCUUGCAAGGCUUAAGUGAUGUGCAUUACCGAGAGGGCCCAGAGAUACCUCUCCGACAAUCAGAGUGACAAAUCCUAAUCUCGAAAUACGCCAAUCCAACAAGUACCUUCGGAGACACAUGUAGAGCACCUUUAUAAUCACCCAGUUAUGUUGUGACGUUUGGUAGCACACAAAGUGUUCCUCCGGUAAACGGGAGUUGCAUAAUCUCAUAGUCAUAGGAACAUGUAUAAGUCAUGAAGAAAGCAAUAGCAACAAACUAAACGAUCAAGUGCUAAGCUAACGGAAUGGGUCAAGUCAAUCACAUCAUUCUCCUAAUGAUGUGAUCCCGUUAAUCAAACGACAACUCAUGUCUAUGGUUAGGAAACAUAACCAUCUUUGAUCAACGAGCUAGUCAAGUAGAGGCAUACUAGUGACACUCUGUUUGUCUAUGUAUUCACACAUGUAUUAUGUUUCUGGUUAAUACAAUUCUAGCAUGAAUAAUAAACAUUUAUCAUGAUAUAAGGAAAUAAAUAAUAACUUUAUUAUUGUCUCUAGGGCAUAUUUCCUUCAGUCUCCCACUUGCACUAGAGUCAAUAAUCUAGUUCACAUCGCCAUGUGAUUUAACAUCAAUAGUUCACAUCACCAUGUGAUUAACACCCAUAGUUCACAUCAUCAUGUGACCAACACCCAAAGGGUUUACUAGAGUCAAUAAUCUAGUUCACAUCGCUAUGUGAUUAAUACCCAAAGAGUACUAAGGUGUGAUCAUGUUUUGCUUGUGAGGUAAGUUUAGUCAAUGGGUCUGCCACAUUCAGAUCCGCAUGUAUUUUGCAAAUUUCUAUGUCAACAAUGCUCUGCACGGAGCUACUCUAGAUAAUUGCUCCCACUUUCAAUAUGUAUCCAGAUUGAGACUUUGAGUCAUCUGGAUCAGUGUCAAAACUUGCAUCGACGUAACCCUUUACGACGAACCUUUUGUCAUCUCCAUAAUCGAGAAAGAUAUCCUUAUUCCACUAAGGAUAAUUUUGACCAAUGUCUAGUGAUCUACUCCUAGAUCAUUAUUGUACUCCUUUGCCAAACUCAGGGCAGGGUAUACAAUAGGUCCGGUACACAACAUGGCAUACUUUAUAGAACCUAUGGCUGAGGCAUAGGGAAUGACUUUCAUUCUCUCUCUAUCUUCUGUCGUGGUCGGGUUUUGAGUCUUACUCAACUUCACACCUUGUAACACAGGCAAGAACUCCUUCUUUGACUAUUUCAUUUUGAACUACUUCAAAAUAUUGUCAAGGUAUGUACUCAUUGAAAAACUUACCUAGCGUCUUGAUCUAUCUCUAUAGAUCUUGAUGCUCAAUAUGUAAGCAGCUUCACCGAGGUCUUUCUUUGAAAAACUGCUUUCAAACAUUCCUUUAUGCUUUGCAGAAUAAUUCUACAUUAUCUCCGAUGAACAAUAUGUCAUACAUAUACUUAUCAGAAAUGUUGUAGUGCUCCCACUCACUUUCUUGUAAAUACAGGCUUCACCGCAAGUCUGUAUAAAACUAUAUGCUUUGAUCAACUUAUCAAAGCAUAUAUUCCAACUCCGAGAUGCUUGCACCAGUCCAUAGAUGGGUCGCUGGAGCUUGCAUAUUUUGUUAGUACCUUUAGGAUUGACAAAACCUUCUGGUUGCAUCAUAUACAACUCUUCUUUAAUAAAUCCAUUAAGGAAUGUAGUUUUGUUUAUCCAUUUGCCAGAUUUCAUAAAAUGCGGCAAUUGCUAACAUGAUUCGGACAGACUUAAGCAUAGAUACGAGUGAGAAAAUCUCAUCGUAGUCAACACCUUGAACUUGUCAAAAAACUUUUUGCGACAAUUCUAGCUUUGUAGAUAGUACCACUACUAUCAGCGUUCGUCUUCCUCUUGAAGAUCCAUUUAAUCUCAAUGGCUCGUCGAUCAAUGGGCAAGUCAAUCAAAGUCCAUACUUUGUUCUCAUACAUGGAUCUCAUCUCAGAUUUCAUGGCCUCAAGCCAUUUCGUGGAAUCUGGGCUCAUCAUCGCUUCCUCAUAGUUCGUAGGUUCGUCAUGGUCAAGUAACAUGACCUCCAGAACAAGAUUACUAUACCACUCUGGUGCGGAUCUCACUCUGGUUUACCUACGAGGUUCGGUAGUAACUUGAUCUAAAGUUACAUGAUCAUCAUCAUUAGCUUCCUCACUAAUUGGUGUAGUAGUCACAGGAACAGAUUUCUGUGAUGAACUACUUUCCAAUAAGGGAGCAGGUACAGUUACCUCAUCAAGUUCUACUUUCCUCCCACUCACUUCUUUCGAGAGAAACUCCUUCUCUAGAAAGGAUCCAUUCUCAGCAAUGAAUAUCUUGCCUUCGGAUCUGUGAUAGAAGGUGUACCCAACAGUUUCUUUUGGGUAUCCUAUGAAGAUUUACUUCUCCGAUUUGGGUUCCAGCUUAUCAUGUUGAAACUUUUUCACACAAGCAUCACAGUCCCAAACUUUAAGAAACAACAGCUUAGGUUUCUCGCCAAACCACAGUUCAUACGGUGUCAUCUCCACGGAUUUAGAUGGUGCCCUAUUUAACGUGAAUGUAGCUGUCUCUAAUGCAUAACCCCAAAACGAUAGUGGUAAUUGGUAAGAGACGUCAUAGAUCGCACCAUAUCUAAUAAAGCACGGUUACGACGUUCGGACACACCAUUACACUGUGGUGUUCCAGGUAGCGUGAGUAGUGAAACUAUUUCACAUUGUUUUAGCUGAAGGCCAAACUCGUAACUCAAAUAUUUUACUUCUCGAUCAUAUCGUAGAAACUUUUAUUUUUGUUAUGAUGAUUCUCCACUUCACUCCAAAAUUCUUUGAACUUUUCAAAUGUUUCAGACUUGUGUUUCAUCAAGUAGAUAUACUCCUAUCUGCUCAAAUCAUCUGUGAAGAUCAGAAAAUAAUGAUACCUGCCGCAAGCCUCAAUAUUCAUCGGACCACGUACAUCAGUAUGUAUGAUUUCUAACAAAUCUGUUGCUCGCUCCAUUGUUCCGGAGAUAGGAGUCUUAGUCAUCUUGCCCAUGAGGCAUGGUUUGCAAGCAUCAACUGAUUCAUAAUCAAGUGAUUCCAAAAGCCCAUCAACAUGGAUUUUCUUCAUGCGCUUUACACCAAUAUGACCUAAACGGCAAUGCCACAAAUAAGUUGCACUAUCAUUAUUAACUUUGCAUCUUUUGGCUUCAAUAUUAUGAAAAUGUGUAUCACCAUGAUCGAGAUCCAACAAACCAUUUUCAUUGGGUGUAUGACCAUAGAAGGUUUUAUUCAUGUAAACAGAACAAUAAUUAUUCUCUAACUUACAUGAAUAACCGUAUUGCAAUAAACAUGAUCCAAUCAUAUUUAUGCUCAAUGCAAACACCAAAUAACAUUUAUUUAGGUUCAACACUAAUCCCGAAAGUAUAGGGAGUGUGCGAUGAUGAUCAUAUCAAUCUUGGAACCACUUCCAACACACAUCAUCACUUCACCCUUAACUAAUCUCUGUUUAUUUUGCAACUCCCGUUUCGAGUUACUACUCUUAGCAACUGAACCAGUAUCAAAUAUCGAGGGGUUGCUACGAACACUAGUAAAAUAUACAUCAAUAAUCUGUAUAUCAAAUAUACCUUUGUUCACUUUGCCAUCCUUCUUAUCCGCCAAAUACUUGGGGCAGUUCCGCUUGCAGUGACCAAUCCCUUUGCAGUAGAAGCACUUAGUCUCAGGCUUAGGUCCAGACUUGGGUUUCUUCACUUGAGCAGCAACUUGUUUGCCGUUCUUCUUGAAGUUCCCCUUCUUCCUUUUGCCCUUUCUCUUGAAACUAGUGGUCUUUUCAACCAUCAACAUUUGAUGUUUUUCUUGAUUUCUACCUUCGCCGAUUUUUGUAUCACGAAGAGCUUGGGAAUCGUUUCCGUUAUCCCUUGCAUAUUAUAGUUCAUCACGAAGUUCUACUAAGUUGGUGAUGGUGACUAGAGAAUUCUGUCAAUCACUAUUUUAUUUGGAAGAUUAACUCCCACUUGAUUCAAGCGAUUGUAGUACCCAGACAAUCUGAGCACAUGCUCACUGCUUGAGCUAUUCUCCUCCAUCUUUUUAGCUAUAGAACUUGUUGGAGACUUCAUAUCUCUCAACUCGGGUAUUUACUUGAAAUAUUAACUUCAACUCCUGGAACAUCUCAUAUGGUCCAUGACAUUCAAAAUGUAUUUGAAGUCCCGAUUCUAAGCUGUUAAGCAUGGUGCACUAAACUAUCAAGUAGUCAUCAUAUUGAGCUAGCCAAACGUUCAUAACAUCUGCAUCUACUCCUGCAAUAGGUUUGUCACCUAGCAGUUCAUCAAGGACAUAAUUCUUCUGUGUAGCAAUGAGGAUAAACCUCAGAUCACGGAUCCAAUCCGCAUCAUUGCUACUAACAUCUUUCAACUUAGUUUUCUCUAGGAACAUAUCAAAAAUAAAACAGGGGAGCUAAAUGCGAGCAAUUGAUCUACAACAUAGAUAUGCUAAUACUACCAGGACUAAGUUCAUGAUAAAUUUAAGUUCAAUUAAUCAUAUUACUUAAGAACUCCCACUUAGAUAGACAUCCCUCUAAUCCUCUAAGUGAUCACGUGAUCCAAAUCAACUAAACCAUGUCCGAUCAUCACGUGAGAUGGAGUAGUUUCAAUGGUGAACAUCACUAUGUUGAUCAUAUCUACUAUAUGAUUCAUGCUCGACCUUUCGGUCUCCGUGUUCCGAGGCCAUAUAUGUUAUAUGCUAGGCUCGUCAAGUUUAACCUGAGUAUUCCACGUGUGCAACUGUUUUGCACCCGUUGUAUUUGAACGUAGAGCCUAUCACACCCGAUCAUCACGUGGUGUCUCAGCACGAAGAACUUUCGCAACGGUGCAUACUCAGGGAGAACACUUAUACUUUGAUAAUUUAGUGAGGGGUCAUCUUAUAAUGCUACCGUUAAUCAAAGCAAGAUAAGAUGCAUAAAAGAUAAACAUCACAUGCAAUCAAUAUAAGUGAUAUGAUAUGGCCAUCAUCAUCUUGUGCUUGUGAUCUCCAUCUUCAAAGCACCGUCAUGAUCACCAUCGUCACCGGCGCGACACCUUGAUCUCCAUCGUAGCAUCGUUGUCGUCUUGCCAAUCUUAUGCUUCCACGACUAUCGCUAGCGCUUAGUGAUAAAGUAAAGCAUUAUAGAGCGAUUGCAUUGCAUACAAUAAAGCGAAAACCAUAUGGCUCCUGCCAGUUGCCGAUAACUCGGUUACAAAACAUGAUCAUCUCAUACAAUAAAAUAUAGCAUCACGUCUUGACCAUAUCACAUCACAACAUGCCCUGCAAAAACAAGUUAGACGUCCUCUACUUUGUUGUCGCAAGUUUUACGUGGCUGCUACAGGCUUAGCAAGAACCGUUCUUACCUACACAUCAAAACCACAACGAUAGUUUGUCAAGUUGGUGUUGUUUUAACCUUCGCAAGGAUCGGGCGUAGCCACACUCGGUUCAACUAAAAUUGGAGAAACUGACACCCGCCAGCCACCUAUGUGCAAAGCACGUCGGUAGAACCAGUCUCGCGUAAGCGUACGCGUAAUGUCGGUCUGGGCCGCUUCAUCCAACAAUACCGCCGAACCAAAGUAUGACAUGCCGGUAAGAAGUAUGACUUGUAUCGCCCACAACUCACUUGUGUUCUACUCGUGCAUAUAACAUCAACGCAUAUAACCUGGCUCGGAUGCCACUAUUGGGGAACGUAGUAAUUUCAAAAAAAUUCCCACGCACACGCAAGAUCAUGGUGAUGCAUAGCAACGAGCGGGGAGAGUGUUGUCCACGUACCCUCGUAGACCGAAAGCGGAAGCGUUAGCACAACGUGGUUGAUGUAGUCGUACGUCUUCACGAUCCGACCGAUCAAGUACCGAACGUACGGCACCUCCGAGUUUAGCACACAUUCAGCCCGAUGACUUCCCUCGAACUCCGAUCCAGCCGAGUGUUGAGGGAGAGUUUCGUCAGCACGACGGCGUGGUGACGAUGUUGAUGUUCUACCAACGCAGAGCUUUGCCUAAGCACCGCUACAGUUUUAUCGAGGUGGACUAUGGUGGAGGGGGACACCGCACACGGCUAAGAGACGAUCAACUUGAUCAACUUCUGUGUCUAGAGGUGCCCCCCUGCCCCUGUAUUUAAAGGAUCAAGGGGGGAGAGGUGCGGCCAGCCUUGGGGCGAGCCAGGAGGAGUUCUACUCCCACCAGGAGUAGGACUCCCCCCCUUUCCUAGUUGGAAUAGGACUUUGGAGGGGGGAAGAAGGAAAGAGGGGGGCCGGCCCCCUUUCCCCUAAACCAAUUCGGUUUGGGCCUUGGGGGGCGCGCCCCACACUUCCCUUGCUUCCCUCCUUUUCCACUAAGGCCCAUGUAGGCCCAUUAAGCCCCCGGGGGGUUUCGGUAACCUCCCGGUACUCCGGUAAAAUCCCGAUUUCACCCGGAACAAUUCCGAUAUCCAAACAUAGGCUUACAAUAUAUCAAUCUUCAUGUCUCGACCAUUUCGAGACUCCUCGUCAUGUCCGUGAUCAUAUCCGGGACUCCAAACAACCUUCGGUACAUCAAAACAUAUAAACUCAUAAUAUAACUGUCAUCGUAGCGUUAAGCAUGCGGACCCUACGGGUUCGAGAACUAUGUAGACAUGACCGAGACACGUCUCCGAUCAAUAACCAAUAGCGGAACCUGAAUGCUCAUAUUGGCUCCUACAUAUUCUACAAAAAUCUUUAUCGGUCAGACCGCAUAACAACAUACGUUGUUCCCAUUGUCAUCUGUAUGUUACUUGCCCGAGAUUCGAUCGUCGGUAUCUCAAUACCUAGUUCAAUCUCGUUACCGGCAAGUCCCUUUACUCGUUCCGUAAUACAUCAACCCACAACUAACUCAUUAGUUGCAAUGCUUGCAAGGCUUAAGUGAUGUGCAUUACCGAGAGGGCCCAGAGAUACCUCUCCGACAAUCAGAGUGACAAAUCCUAAUCUCGAAAUACGCCAAUCCAACAAGUACCUUCGGAGACACAUGUAGAGCACCUUUAUAAUCACCCAGUUACGUUGUGACGUUUGGUAGUACACAAAGUGUUCCUCCGGUAAAUGGGAGUUGCAUAAUCUCAUAGUCAUAGGAACAUGUAUAAGUCAUGAAGAAAGCAAUAGCAACAAACUAAACGAUCAAGUGCUAAGCUAACGGAAUGGGUCAAGUCAAUCACAUCAUUCUCCUAAUGAUGUGACCCCGUUAAUCAAAUGACAACUCAUGUCUAUGGUUAGGAAACAUAACCAUCUUUUAUCAACGAGCUAGUCAAGUAGAGGCAUACUAGUGACACUCUGUUUGUCUAUGUAUUCACACAUGUAUUAUGUUUCCGGUUAAUACAAUUCUAGCAUGAACAAUAAACAUUUAUCAUGAUAUAAGGAAAUAAAUAAUAACUUUAUUAUUAUCUCUAGGGCAUAUUUCCUUCAGCUGGUGCCUGCUCCUGGUGUGUUAAAGAGGUUUCUUCCCUCAUAAACAGGCGGCAGGUGAGACCGUUACCUUCUCCUCAUGACAUCAUCUGACGCACUUUGGUCCAGCAUAAGCCGAUAGGCCUGUGCCUCUAACCCGGCCCGCUCAGCGGCCAUCUUGGUGUUCUCUGCUGCCAGAUCUGCUUUAGCUUGAGCUAUCUGAUCCUUCACCUUUGCAAUCUCUGCGUUAUGCUGAUCCCGGUUUGCCGCGUCAACCUCUGCUGCUAGCAACGUUGCCAACGUGUCAAACAAAUCGGACAAAACCUGAGCCGAUGGUGAUGCUGAGCCCCCUGCUCUGGCUGGUGUUGCCGCUGCUGAACCGGAAAUCACCGCUGCGGCGGUAGAAGAGUGCUGCGCUGAUUGUGUACCGGCCAUUAAGAUCGCAACUCGGCUUGGCGGUUCAAGGAAGUCCGGAAUACUGUCGCCAUCGGAACCACCACUAAUCCGGCCAUCAUGCAGCUGGUAAAGCGACUCGGUCUCUCCGGUUGAAGACUUGUCAUCAGAGUAGACGACGGUUUCGCCACCAGAUACUGAUCUAUCCUCAGAUUCCGCUCCGUGGAUGACUCCCACAAAGGCAUGCUUCACGGCAGGCUGAACGCGGGCGGGUCUUGCGCGCUGAGCUGUCUCAAUGAUGUCGGUGCAGAUGUCCGGCUCAGGGCCCAGUUCACCGAUCUUGCCAAUGAAGACGUGUAUUCCGCCAAAGGGGACCCGGUACCCGUACUCGAUAGAGCCGGCCUCGGGGCCCCAGCCUGCAUCGUCGAUGUAGAGCUUGCCGAGACGACUCUUGGUCAUCCGACCCACAACGUAUCCCUUGAGUCCUUCGAAGCUGCCUUCAAGAACUCGAAACCAUCGUGUGAUAGCCCCACAGUGGGCGCCAACUGUCGUGGAAUUGUCACGGCAGAUGUCCUCGUGAAAGGACUUAGUCGUGGAUCCAUCGCAACGGGUUAGCUAAAAGGGGUUAAAGCGAACAAGGGAUGCAAGGGUUUAUACUGGUUCGGCCCCUUACGGUGAAGGUAAAAACCUAUGUCCAGUUGUGAUGGAAUUGCUUGGGUUUCGAUAACCAGGGAGCGAAUCUGCUUUGCCUGGUUCUCGAGUUAUUGUUUGUUCUCCCUAAACCGCCGUCGGGUCGUCCCUUUAUAUACAUAGGUCGACGCCCGUCGGUUUACAGAAUCCCGAGGCCGGCUCAUAAACAUGUCCAGCUCGGUCUCUACUCUUUCUAUCUUAUAACACAAGUUUACAUAUCAAUGUCAGUUUAUGUCUACAGGCCUUAACCCGCCUUUGGGCCUUGGGCCUUCAUAAAGCGCCACCAUCUUUGUCUUUAUGGGCUUCAAAUAUAAUAAUCAUUAUGGGGAUAACCCAUCCUCUCCUGGCCGGUUUAUGUCCAGUAGUAAUACCCCCAACAAGCUCCCUAGCCCUUCGGGUUUCAACCGUCGCUGGAGUCCCACCCUCAACUGGUAAAGCCGCCAAUCGCGUCACCGCAGCAAUCAUGUUGUCCAAAGGGGUGGAAUAGUGACCCGACGGUGUUACCAUGUGUUGAGGCUGGUGUUGUUCAUAUACGGAGAACUUGUCACGCGCGGCCGACUCGGCAUCCCACCGCCUGACGCUUCAGUCAUCCGAUUUACCACCGGUGGGUUACUGGCCCCGGCUCCAGGGAUGUUGAAGAGCUCCCUUGACUCAUAAACUGAGGGCAGAUGACUCCGAUAUUUUCUCCUCAUAACUUCAUUCGACGCGUUCUGAUCCACCGUGAGCCGGUAUGAAUCUGCUUGAAUUCGCUGUGCUUGGGCACUUAAAACGACCCGCUCUACAGCCAUCCUGGCAUUUUCUGCUGCUAAUUCCGCCUUAGCUUGCGCUAUCUCAUCACGCAACUUAGCUAUCUCUGCCUUGUGCUCCUCCUGGUUGUCUGGGGUUACCUCAACCUCCAUCAGAGUCGCCAGAGCAUCCAACAGAUCUGUUAAGAUUUGAGCCGGCGGGCGUGCUGAACCGCCAGCCCCAGCUGCCGUUACCGCUGCUGCACUAGAAGUCAUAGCCGCGACGGCUGUCGAACCAAGAACCGGCUGGGUGCCAGCCAUGAAGAUCGCCACCCUGUUCGGCGGCUCACGGGGAUCCGGAAUACUAUCGCCAUCAAAACAGCCCCCAAGCCGCCCGUCUUGUAGCUGAUACAUUGAGUUGGUCUCGCAUGUGGACGACUCAUCAUCAAAGCAGAUAGUUGUCUCACCGCCAGAGACAGCCUUCCAACUCAGCCCUGUGGGUGAACCCAACGAAGACAUGCCUUACGGCGGGUUGAGCCCGGGCUGGUCGUGCACGCCGAGCUGUCUCGAUGAUGUCGGUGCAGAUGUCCGGCUCGCCGACCUUGCCGAUGAAGACAUGGAUUCCACCGAAGGGGACCCGGCGUACUCAAUUGAGCCGAUCUCGGGGCCCCAGCCUGCAUCGUCGAUGUAGAGCUUGCCGUGACGACUCUUGGUCAUCCGCCCCACAGCGUAUCCCUUGAGCCCUUCGAAGCUACCCUUUAAGAACUCAAAACCACCGUGCGCUGGCCCCACAGCGGGCGCCAACUGUCGUGGAAGUGUCACGACAGAUGUCCUCGUAGAAGGACUUAGUUGUGAAGCCAUUGCAAUGAGGCUACCUUAAGGGGGUUAAACGGGACAAAGGACACGGAGAGUUUAUACUGGUUCGGCUCCUUGCGGCGAAGGUAAAGGCCUACUCCAGUUUGAGAUGGUAUUGCUAGGGUUUCGAUUACCAGGGAGCAAACACACUUUGCCUGGCUUUUGAUUUGUUGUUUCUUACCCUAAGCCGCUGCCGGGUCGUCCCCUUAUAUACAUGGGUUGACGCCCUGCAGCCUAUAGAGUCCCGGUCGGCUCAUACAAACGUGUCCGGCUUGAUGACUUAUCUUACAUGAUUUACAAUACAAGUUUACAUAUACAUGACGGUUUACACUUAAGGCCUUAAGCCGCUCCAGACUUGGGCCUUUUAAUAAGCCUAUCUAUGAACCGCCAUCCUCAGUAUAUUCUUGGGCUUCAUUUGGAUGAGCCGCCAUAAUAGAUGACCCGGCCCUUUCUGAGCGGGUCAUAUCUGAUAGUCAUAUCCCCAACAGUUAGUGAAUGGAUGGCAUGUUCAGCCGUAUGAUACGAAUAUAGGACGCAUGAGAUGAACAUAAGGCGUCCGGAUAUAGAUGCUCUAACGUGACGCCAGUCUAUUUUUCUAUACUGGCGAAUCGGUUUAGUCUUGUACUCUUGUUGCUAGACACUGGGAGAGCAGCCUGCUAGCAGAGCAAAGCAACGAAUCUGAAUCCGGCAAGCUGGUCAAACAACUUCGUGCCCAGCACGGUACCACCCCCUCGUUUUUCAAACGCGAGCCAACCAGAGCAGAUCCAUCUUGAAUCAAUCAGGCAGAGUAUAUCCGCCCACCCACCAGACCACCAGCAGGAUACUCCUCCGAAACCCCCACGUCUACCCGUGCCCCGAGAAACGGCACGCCAACAACGGGAUAAGCCAGCCCCGCGGUUUCCCCGGUCGCAGCCGUGCAACCCAAGCCUGGCGGACCGAUGGAUGGCAACACGAUGUGCAACCCGAACGCCGACGCCAACGCCGACGUGCGCGCAGAAGCAACGUGCACCGGCGCAGAUAAUAAACAGUGUAAAUAAAAAUGUUCUUUUUCCGCACACGAGGAAGUGGGAUGGCGUCCGCGGCACAGCACCGGGGCGCGCGGUCGCGUGGGCAGCAGCUUGCUGCAGCGGCGGGUGAAAGAGAGAGAGAGAGAGAGAGGGAGGGAGAGAGGGGAGAGGAGAUAUCCCUUUGCCAUAUUCCCCGUUGCGUGCAGGCACCCCUCCCCCGGGCCGGGCGCUGGCCACGCGCACCCGCGGGGGAACCGUCGGGUGACGGGUGGGGCCCGGGCGGCAGGGGGCGCGGGGGGCGUCGGGGUCGGGGACGGGUAGCGGGGGAGGGGGGAGGCGAAGCGGAGGGGAUGGAUUGAUUUCUCGGGAUUUAUUUAAGGGAGAGGAGGGAGAUAGGCACACGAAAGCAACAGCCAGGAGAGAGACCAAGAGAGGAGAGAAAAGGGAGAAGCCAAGGGAAGAGGAGGAGGAGGAGGAGUUGUUGGCUCUGGUUCUGGUUCCGGUCUGCGUGGAAUCGCCGGAGGAGAGGGGAGGGACGGCGGAGGAGGGAGAUGGUCGAGAGCUGACUGCGCGGAUCGCGGUGGCCGGAGGGGGGGAUCGGCCGGAGCAGGGACACUGCGGAUGGUAUUGGGCUUCGCCGGCGCCGGAGGCGGCGAUCGCGGAUGGGCGGCGGGGGCCGCGGGUGCUAGUGGCGGCGGAGUCGGAGGGGUCGGUGCUCGCGUCGGUCUCCGGGGAGGAGGUGUUGCAGGAGCAGGAGGAGCGCGGGGGGAUGAAGCAGGGGAAGGGGGGGAGGAAUGGGCUGCUGCCGAGCUCGCUGCGGAUCAUAUCGUCCUGCCUCAAGACGGUCUCGUCCAACGCCGGCUCCGUCGCCUCCACGGUGCGCUCCGCCGGGGCCUCCGUCGCCGCCUCCAUCGCCCCCCAGGCCGAGGACGAGAAGGACCAGGUCGCCUCCGCCCGCCGCAACCACCUCCAAAACUUCCUUUUUUUUCCCCACUGUUGCAGACAACUGUUGUUGAACUUGCUACUAGUGUUACUUCUGCUCAAUUAUACUCGCAACUGUACACUUGAUUGCAUGCCGAUUUUUGGUAGGUCGUUAUGGUCUGUCAGUAAUCCGACUUGCUAGAUCUUAUCUAAGCAUAGAUUCAGAAUUCCAUGGCCAACUAACCAAGUCGGAGUUCGGUUGACCAUCAAUGAAGUUGAAGUUGGCACAUAGUAGAAUUGUUAAUUAAGAUAUACGGAGUAACUAGUUGGACGUUUCCAGUCCUACAAUACAAUGGAUGAAAUUCUAGUUAGCUACAUACAUGGUGGACAGUUUGGUGAAUUCAAAUUUCCUAUUUUUGCCACUAUAAUGCUGCUGUGAUAUUGCCAGCUGUCUGUUUGAUACCAAUUUGCACAUCCAUGCUACAUUUAAGCUUGUGUUAGGAUGGUAUGUUUCCUUUUUUUCUGGAAUCAGCUCAACAGGGGUAUCUUGUUUCUAUUGUACUUAUUUGGUUAAUGCUUGGUUCAUCUUCUUUUAUCGUUAGUCAACCGCUCUUAAUUCCUUAACCUACCGUCGUGCUUCCUUAUAUCUUUGCAAAUUCACUGACAGUAUUCAGUCUUGACGUUUCAUAUGUGAACAGGUUUUGUGGGCUGGAUUUGACAAAUUAGAGCUUCGUGCGUCAUCUUUCAAGCAUGUUCUGCUCGUUGGCUACUCUAACGGGUUUCAAGUGCUUGAUGUUGAGGAUGCUGCAAAUGUUUGUGAAUUGGUCUCAAAACGCGAUGGUCCAGUUACCUUUUUACAAAUGCAACCCACACCACUUUACUCUGAAGAAACUGAAGGAUUUAGGGCAUCACAUCCUAUGCUUCUGGUUGUUGCUGGGGAUGAGACAAAUGGCUUGGGUAUGGUUCAGGGUGGUCGUUUAAGUGCACUGAUCAGGGAUACAAGCACUGAACCUCAAUCUGGAAACUGCAUUUCUACCCCAACAGUUGUUCGCUUCUACUCUUUGAAGUCUCACACCUAUGUACAUGUUCUCAGAUUCCGGUCUGCUGUAUAUAUAGUUCGUUGCAGCCCCCGGGUUGUGGCCGUAGCACUUGCAGCGCAAGUAAGUUCUUGGUUUUCUUAUUUCGUAGUGUAAAUGAUAUUGGCAAAGAUGCACAAACUUGUAUAUAUGUGUUCUUAUAUUUUUCUGCUACAUUCCAGAUCUACUGCUUUGAUGCUGUAACUCUUGAGAACAAGUUCAGCGUCUUAUCAUAUCCUUUACAAGGGGCACCUGGAGCAAACAUUGGGUAUGGUCCAAUGUCUGUUGGCUCAAGAUGGUUAGCUUAUGCUCCCAAUGGUCUUGUAUUAUCCAGCACUGGUCGUCUGAGCCCACAGAACCUCACACCUUCUCCAGGAGUGAGCCCAUCUACUUCUCCUAGCAAUGGAACCUUAGUUGCUAGAUAUGCAAUGGAGUCCAGUAAGCAAAUAGCUGCUGGUAUAAUCAAUCUUGGUGAUAUGGGGUACAAAACACUGUCAAAGUACUGCCAAGAACUGCUGCCUGAUGGUUCUAAUUCUCCUCUGUCAUCAAGUCCAGGAAGGAGAUCCGGCAAACUUCCCUCCACUGUGCAUCCACUUGAAGCUGACAAUGCGGGAACGGUUAGUUGAGGCUUGUCUAUGCUUUCUUUUUUUAUCUUUGACAAGUAUAUAGCACAUUAAAGAAAAUAUGUAUUCUUUAAUGCGUCAGUGUUUCAGAUUAAUGAUAUCUUAUUGGACUUUUGCAGGUUAUCAUCAAGGAUGUUACCUCCAAAGUUGUUAUAUCACAGUUUAGGGCUCACACCAGUCCUAUAUCUGCUCUUUGUUUUGAUCCUAGUGGAACCCUUUUGGUCACAGCCUCUGUUCAUGGCCACAACAUAAAUGUUUUCCGGAUCAUGCCAACCUGCAUUGCUAAUGGCUCAGGUUCAAAACGAUAUGAUUGGGCAUCAUCUCAUGUUCACCUUUACAAACUGUAUCGUGGCAUGACAGCAGCGGUAUGGUUACACAGAAACUAUCAAGUUCUGUUAAAAGAACCAUGUCAUUAUUUUUAAUUACCUUGUGUUUACUUGCAGGUCAUACAGGACAUAUCUUUUAGUCAUUUUAGCCAGUGGGUAUCUAUUGUUUCAGCACGAGGCACUUGCCAUAUUUUUACAUUGUCUCCAUUUGGGGGUGAUUCAAGUUUGCAGCCACAGAAUUCUCACAGUGACGGGCCGCCUCUUGCUCCAUGUCAGUCAAGGCCAUGGUGGUCAAAGCCAUCAUUUCUUAUGGAUCAACAGCUUCAUCCUGUGCCAUCAACUGUGACAAAUUCGGUGGUCAGUAGGAUAAAAAACAAUGGUUCUAGUUGGCUAAAUACAGUCAGCAACGUGGCUGCUUCUGCAAGUGGAAAACUAUCAGUGCCAUCUGGUGCUAUAACUGCUAUUUUUUACAAUUCCAUUUACAAAGGUUCUCUGCCGGCUCCGUCGAAGGCUAAUGCUUUGGAGCAUUUAUUGGUGUAUUCACCGUCUGGUCAUGUUAUUCAACAUGAACUUCUGCCUUCUUCGGGUUCUGAAUCCUCUGAUAACAGCCCAACAGUUGGGCCUGGCAGCCAUUUGCAGCUCCAAGAUGAUGAGUUGCAUGUCACCGCUGAGCCAGUUCAAUGGUGGGAUGUUUGUCGUCGGACAAACUGGCCUGAAAGAGACCAGGACAUUGCAAAUGUUGUAUUCCACAACCAACUAAACAGGAUGAUGACACCGGACACUUCUGACUGUGAGGAUAGUGACCAUUCUGAUUUCACUCCAUCAAAUGAUGGUGUAUCCAGAAAAGAGGUUAUGAAAGUUAAAGAAAGAUCAAGCUGGUAUCUCUCAAAUGCAGAGGUUCAGAUAAGCUCAUGGCGGAUUCCCAUAUGGGAGAAGUCUAAGGUUGGCCUGCAAUGUCUUGAUACCAUCACUAAAUUUUACAGAAUGGAUAUUGAACAAUCUUUCAUGUAUAUGUAGAUUUGCUUCUACGUGAUGGAUCAUCCUGCUACAGAGUCAGGGGAAGCUGUUAGCGUUCAUGGUGGGGAAAUUGAGAUUGAAAAGCUGGCUCUUCAUGAGGUUGAACUCAGGAGGAGGGAACUGCUCCCUGUGUUUAAGCAGUUCCACUAUCCUGAGCAAAAUAGGUAAUGCCAAAUUAUCAUGAAAGAAAAAUGUUAUUCUAGUCUUUUCUGUUUGUUGUCUACUGUUCUAUCUCUGUUAGUUGCUGGCUGCUUAUGUUUUUUUUUCAGAUAAUAUUUUUCCCACUAUUUAAUGAUAUCAAGGGGUUGAAUUUCAUACCAAUUUAAAUGCUGCUAUGGUCAAAUUAUAUGUUUAGAACAUCUCUGCCGGUAAUCGUGCUCUGUUUUGUUUUGUAUUGCUGUUGUACAGUUGUACACCAAGCUAUAGGCAAGUAGUGCAAUGCACUUAAUUUUCAGUAUUAUCGUCCAGUGUCUUGAUCUAUAGUCUGAGCAUAGGAUGUCAAUUUUGUAUUGCUAAAUAUGUUCAUAAGUUUGUAAAUAUCAGCAAUUUCUAGUUUGAAGAUAUCAAUUUCUGUUUGUAAAUUCAUAAGUUAUGUUAAAUGAUAAUUCUUGAAAAGGUCAUAUGCUUCUGUAAACUGCCAAGAAGCUCCUGAAGCAAUCACACUAUUCUGUCACUGCCCAAAAUUAGAUAACCUGUAAUGUCAGCGCUGACGUGUAUUGUUACUCUCAAAAGUAUUGAUUCUACCUGUCUAACUGGCUUGUCUAGCACACAUUUUAAUGGAAAAUUAUAAAGUUGGACUCGCCCAAGUUUUCUUCCAAGCUUACAAAGGAUUAUGUUUAUCUGUGUCACCAAGUCUUGUUUAUACUUGUGAAUUUUGGGCCCCUGUAACUAAUCUACUAAAUCAACUCAGGGAUUUCCCCAAAAUCUACCUAAUGGAUUAUCUCAUUUUUUUGCUCAAAAGGGGAUCCUUUAGCAACAUACACUUAAAUUCUUUGAAUUACUCUCUUGCAAAACUCUUUGUCUUCCCUCUUGUAAGUGUAGGAUAUAGUUUAAUUUUCUAUUGCUAAAGUGUAAUUUUGCCAGAUUUAGCAAGCGAUAAGUGAUGCCAUUGUCGUUGAUGAACUUAGUAGACCUUUGGUUAGAUUAUCACAUUUCUCCUCUCAAAUGCUUUUUUAUUUGACAUCAUCAUCUGCUUGAAGUUUGCAUAUGAACGUGUCAUGCUUGUCGUUUUUCAGGGCAUAGGUUUGCACUAUCAUAUACUUUUUACACAACCAAUGCAACUUUUGAGUUACCCAGGGAAUAUUUUAUUUGUUACUAACUCAUAGUCAUAGUGCUGGAAAUAAGUACCAUGGAGAUAAACAGGGCAAAGGAAAUAAAGAAUAUAUUGAGUUUUGUUACUUGGUGCUAAGUAGUCAAACCAAGUUUUGUUUUUCAUCAGUUAUUGACAUGUGAAAUAAAUAAUAUAUUGAAAUGUGCAGCAACCUUGCAAGCCGACAAUUUCAGAAUGCAUUAUCCGCCAUUGACAACACACAGUAUAGCUCGGCAAAGGAUAGUGAUGCAUAUGGACCCAAACCAGUGCCUCAUAUAUCUGGAUUUUACACUGGUAAAUAUACGUUGUGAAAUUUGAACUUACUGUUUAUCUCCAUUAUAAUUGUUUAUUGAAAGAGAUGCUUAAUCUUGCAGAUAUGAGAAAAACAGAGAACAUGAAUGGUUUAGCUGGGCAGUUAUUUUCUGGACCUAUUCCUGCUGUGGAUAUGCUGCCAAAGGAAAAGUGCAAUUCUAUUGGAUCUCCUGAAGCUAGAAAUUUGACUGCCAAUCACAAAGUAGAUAAUGGGAGCAUUGGCUAUGUGUCUACACCAAAUGGAACAAAUGCAUCCACCAUCAUGCCUCAGUCUAUAGAGGGUGUGGAUUGUUUACCAUCACACAUCAGACCAUUGAGCAACUAUUCCCUCUUGGAUGGACCUCUUGAUAAUGGAUCACCUUCUCCCGCAAGUAACGAAUCAUGCGGGCCUGAAAUAACCAAUAAUUCUCUAGUCAGCAAUGGUGCCAUUACUGAUAUCCCAAGUGGAGGUCACACGGGCGUCUAUUCUGGACAGAAUGAAACACCUGGUUCUCAGAACUCUGGAGAGUUUACCCAGUAUUUCCAAGAGGGCUAUUGUAAAAUAUCAGAACUCGAUGACUGCCGUGAGUUAACUGAAGCUGUUACUGAUGCUGACAGCAGCAGCAGCCACUGCGAGAGAGAGAAGCCCGAGGAAGAUGGGGACAACGAUGACAUGCUUGGAGGGGUUUUCGCCUUCAGUGAAGAAGGUAAUACACAACGCAAGUGAUGAUAGAAAGGUCAUCAUUGAACUUAAUUGUUGGUGAUUGUACUUUUGUGUUUGCGCUGAUCUCUGUUCUGUCUUUGUGGCAGGUUGAACUUACUAUACUGCUUUACUUGGGAUAGAUAAUGGUAAACAGUUGCCACACCAUUCAGUGUGCAAUAUUAUGUAGAAAAUGGUGGAAUUCUAGUAGGCUUCCGUGGAAUAAAGUUGUGCCGCGUCGAUAAUCUAAUGUUUGGUACAUAUUUGGAAGGUGAAGUUUGCGCUCCAUGUUUAUUUGCCGGAAGAGUUCACUCUGGAGUUUGAGUCGAAGAUCCCUCCAGGCAAUUUACUAAUCCACGGAAGGAAGGGAGUUUGGUGUUUGUCGAGAAGCUGCCACUGCCUGCCGCGACACUUGGCCCGCCCUUUUUCUGUUUGCUUUGUACAUACUGUAAGACCCAUUUGUUUCGUGAGAUACACUUCUGGGACAUUUGGAUGGUCUGAAACCCUGGCGAGCCAUAUUUGUUGACUGCUUCCUGCCAGGGCCUGUGAAUGUUCCAUGUUUAUUUGUACAUACUUUCAUGUUUUAUUAAGAGAAAGGAAUGCUGGCAACGAUUAAUGUGACAUAACUGUAUAAACAUUCAGUGAAAGAUUUCUGUUUACGAAGUCGCUAUGUUCUGCUCUUCCUUUCUGUCUGUGUUGCAUGCUCAGUAAUUGACUGCUGCUAUGAUGAAUUACAAGUGGCUUCUGGUGUUGGAAGAUAAUUAGUCACAGCAUUUUCUGUAUGUUCGCAAGGACACUUGCUACGGAAAUUACAUGUGUGGGAUGUGUCUAUUUAGCAAGUCUGGUGUGAAUUUGGGGCAGGCUUUCAGGGUAUAUUCCCACGUGGAACCACCUUGUUCCGUUUCACUCACUCUUCCCGAUAAUCGGUUGUCGGGCCUCUUUUAAUAAAUUACUCUUCCCGAUAAUCGGUUGUCGGGCCUCUUUCAAUAAAUUAGAACAAUGCCCGCCAGUUGCAAUGGCAUAUAAAUAUUCUACUACGUUAGCUUGUGAUUUACAUGUUAAUAAUAAUGCGAUUGUGUAAAUAAAUGUAUCAAUCUGACUGAAUUACCUUAUACUCCCUCUAUCCUAAAAUUCUUGUUUUAGAUUUGUCUAAAUACGGAUGUAUCAAGUCAUGUUUUAAUAUUAGAUAUAUUCGUGUCUAGACAAAUCUAAUAUAAGAAUUUUGAGACGAAGGGCAUAUUUUGAUUAAAAAUUUGGUAAGUAAAUUAAAAUAAAAUUGGUUCAGAAGGUAAGUAAAUUAAGUUGAUUGAUUAUCAUAUAGAGUACAUGGAAGAUUGGACGAAUGGGUGGUGGGAAGAAAGGUGAAAUGAAAAUCUUACAUUCUUUUUAAGCAGUGGAGAUAGCAAAGAAAAGAUAGAGAUUUGAGGUAUGUAGGUGUAAUACUUUCUCCCUCUCCAACAAUCCAUUCCCCAAUACCGAUUUUGACAUGUGGCCCCACUUGUCAAUAACAUCUCUCUCUCUUCCUCUCUUCUUGGAUGGUGGCGCAACAAUUGGCGGUGGUUUGAUAGCGGCAUGGUGGUUCGACGGGGUGGCAGUGAAUGACGAUUAGACCUGGCCAUGGGCAGCCCGGCCCGGCCCGAAAAAGCCCAACCCGGCCCGGCCCGAUGCUGCUCCCGCGCCGGGCUCGGGCCUAGAUUUUGAGCCCGGUGGCCUGGCCGGGCCGGGCCCGGGCCCAUCAUUUUUGCCGUUUUCUGAAGGGGCCCGGCAGGCUUUUGCAUGUUUGGGCCAGGCUUGGGCCCAAAAACUAGGCCCGAUGGCCGGGCUCGGGCCCAGGUUUUUUGGCUCAGGCUUGGCUAAGCCCGGCCCAAAUCCCGGCCCGGCCCGAGGUUUGGCCAGGUAUAAUGACGAUAGUGCAGUAGUCUGACAUGCAUUGGCGGCGACACGCGUUGACGUGGCAUGUAUUGGGGAAGAGCCAACUCCCUCUCCAUAUAGGGGGAGUUGGGACUGUUUCUUUAUGAUCAUCAUUUUUUUAGUGGACCAAAAAUUUAUUGAAGAAAGAGAAGUUGUUGAAGCUGUCUUUUUUUUUCUUUUUUUGGCCCAACUCCCCUAAUACUAAAAACUUAUUGAAGAAAUGAGAGCUGUUGAAGAUGCUCUACAAUGGACGGCCCCAAUUAUUCGAACCAUUAUAUUACAUAGUAUUGCUCGAUGACUCUAACUGAGUUUAGAGCUGAGUUUCGAGUAUACUUCCUCCAUCCCAUAAUAUAAGAGCGUUUUUGGACCAACGUACAAAACUACAAAGGUAGUUAACAAGACAAUCAUCUAAGUUAUCCACCGUGCAAGUUUUGUUGCUGAGCAUUUAAUUUUUGUCUGAGAAAAAUUCACUGUAGGUCACUAAACUUGAGCCGGUUGACAAUUUAGUACCACUACUUCAAAAUACCCGAACUACGGUCCACGUACUUAUGCAAGGGGUUCAUUUUGGUCAGUAUGUAUGAUUUCGUGUACGUAUUUGCUGACUUGGCCGAGUCAGCGGCCGCCAGUUCGGUUUGACCGCCACCUGGUCGUGCCUAGGGUGAAUACUAGUCCAUCUGAGGUUUUUUUUUUGCAAAAUCGCCGUGACCAUUAAACCAGCCUACCUGGUCGGACCGCACCAGCUCGCUGUCUCCCUCUCCUCCCGCACCCGCUCGCUGUCUCCUCUGCUCCCGCACCCUCUUUGCUCGUCGUCCCUGCCGAGGUCGUCCUGUGAGCUCGUCGCCGUCGACGACGGCUCCAUGAGCACGUCGUCGGACGCUGAGCCGCCGCCGUCCGCGCCGUUUGGGAGGGGCCUGCGCGACGUCCCUCUUGCUCCUUCGCGUCGCCGUGAUGAUGCCUCGCCGCCCCUGUAUGGUACGUCGCCGUCGCCAGCAGCUCCGUUGCUCGAUCUGUCCAAUUUAGCUCCCGUAAAGAGUUUUUAGUCGCAUCAAUUGCGCGUACGAGCUAGGGUUUGGGCGUUCGUUCAACUUUCUGACGGAUUGGGUGUGGGUGGUAGGGUUUUAGCAGUUUCUUGAUGAACUUAGUGGCAGGCCAAAAAUAGGGAUGCAUCCUGUGUUAGGAUGGGGGGUUUGCAGUUGAUGGCCAUGUUUGGAGAGAUCUAUAGUGGUUAGGGUUCUUUCUCCCCCAAUUUGUCAUGGGUCCAAGGGCCUAGGGUUUAAGCGGUAAAGGUUGCUUUUAGUGUCAGAGUGUUAAUUGGACAAAAAAUGUUUUAAUUUGCAAUUACAUUAGGGCAGAUUUACCAAAAAUGGUUGCUUUAUGACCUGUAAGAUCAUACAUUUGUUAAUUGGAGGCCAGGAAUCUGUGCUUUUCUCUUCUGAAAAAGUCUAAAUUUUGUACUGUCUGAACCUCUCUGUAGUCUGAACUUUUUAACUUGAUUGUUUUGCAGGACCCUUAGGCAACCACUUCUCUGUUGAGGUCAUACAUGGUGGCUAUUUUCUGUGUGCUGGCAAGCAUAGGGAUUAUCACAAAGGUCACUCCAUUUGGUAUGAUUACUGUGACAUAGAUAAUUGGACACCCAAUGUUGUUGCCAGUCUAGUGGAGGAAAUUGGAUAUGACUUUGAGGGCAUGAUCAGGGCUUAUUGGUGUGUUCCUGGAUUAACAGUGUAUAAGAAUGGAUUAAGAGAGAUCAAGAUAGGGGACAACACUAUGACAGAAAACAUGAAGGAUUGUGUUAUGAAUGGCAACCAGUUCCAAUAGAUAUUCCUUGAUCAUGAUGAGAGCAUGAGAUCAUUUAUAUCUCCUGUUCCUAUUCACUCUGAUGAUGAGGAUCCUCCAAUUGUCAGGUUCAGUGGCAUUAGGCCAAAGAAGAAGAAGGCACACCAACAGCAAGUGGAGCAGGCAGAAAAGCAGCAAGAGGAGCAGGCUGAGCUCACUCUAGUGGAACAGGAGCAGGCUGAGCUCCCUCAAGUGGAACAGGAGCUGCCUCAGCAUGAUCAAGAGCAUGAGAAAGAUGAAGCAGAGUCAGAAAGUGGAGCAGAGUCAGAAGAAGAUGGAUGCAGCAGAAAUCCUGUAGGUUUGGGUUUAGGGCCAGGAAAUCCUGUAGGUUUUUGAACAUGGAUGCAGCAGACACAGUUGGUUGUUUAGUAAUGCAGGAUUCAAAUGAAGAUUACAUUCCACAAAUUGUUAAUUCAGACAUUGAUCUACAAGAUGAUGAUGACUUGUUUGACAAAAAUGUUGAUUGUGAGAAAGGCAAAGGUAAAGCAGUCCAAGAAGAAGCUGAUGAUCCUACUGAAGAUGUGGAUAUGUGUCUGCCAUCUUCUGAUGAAGAUAAGGUGAAGCUAAAUUUCAAAAGUUUUACAGAGGAAGACCUGACUAAACCACAGUUUCAAGUUGGCCAGACCUUUGGAUCUGUUGAGUUCCUAAGGAAAGCUACCAAAGAGUACAACUGUCAGGAGAGAGUUGACAUUAAAUGCCCCAAAAAUGAUAGGAAAAGACUGAAUGCCAUUUGCGAAGAUGGGUGCCCUUGGACCUUGUCUGCAUCAUUUGAUGGGAGAAUCAACUGCUUCAUGAUCAAGAAAUACAAUCCAAAGCAUACAUGCAUAAAGAAAUGGUGUGUUAAGUCAUUCACUGCUCCUUUUAUGGCUGGAAAAUAUGUUGAUUCCUUCAGAGCAGAUGAAAACAUGAAUAUGAAUUUUUUUGCAAGGGUGGUUCAGAAAGAUUGAAACAUGACAGCAACAAGGAGCAAGAUCAGAAGGGCUAAGAGGCUAGUGAAUAAAGUGAUUGAAGGAGAUGAGUUGGAGCAGUACAACAGCAUGUGGGAUUAUGCACAAGAAUUUAGAAGAUCAAAUCCAGGCAGUUCUUUCUAUGUGGGUGUUAGUAAUGGCAUAUUUGCAAAUUGUUAUUUCUCUCUGGAUGCCUGCAAAAGGGGUUUCAUGCAAGCCUGUAGGCCUGUCAUUUGUUUGGAUGGAUGCCACCUGAAGACAAAGUAUGGAGGUGUUAUGUUGUGUGCUGUUGGCAUGGAUCCUAAUGACUGCAUUUACCCUAUAGCUUUUGCCGUUGUUGAGGUAGAGAACACUGACACAUGGAAAUGGUUUCUGUCAAAUCUGAAGAGUGACUUGGGAAUUGUAAACACAGAGCCAUGGACUAUAAUGUCAGACAAGCAAAAGGGUCUGAUCAAGGGAGUGAGGCAGCACUUUCCUAAUGCAGAGCACAUGCACUAUGUUAGGCAUAUGUAGCAAAAUUUUCAGCAAACACACAAAGGAGAUGUUCUUAAGAACCGGUUAUAGAAGUGUGCAAGGAGCACAACACCAGAACUGUGGGCUGCAAGCAUGGAGGAACUGAAGGUCAUCAGCCUUGAAGCAUACAAAUGGCUUGAGCAGCUACCACCCAACACUUGGUUAGGGGCUUCCAAAGAGAAUUGGUCAAGUGUGAUAUUCUUCUGAACAACAACUGUGAGGUUUUCAACAAAUAUUUUCUUGAUGCUAGGGAGAUGCAUCUCAGAUCAAUGAUUGACAAGAUCAAAACACAACUCAUGGUCAGAUUCUACAACAAAAGAAAGGAGGCAGAGGCCUGGCCUGGCUCAAUAUGCCCAAAAAUUAGGAAAAGAAUUAAGAAGAACAUAGAGCUGUCGGCUACAUGCAUGGUUUUAGGGGCUGGUGAUGGCAUCUUUCAGGUUGACAACAGGAACAUGACAUACAUUGUUGACAUGAGGGAAGAAAGAUGUACAUGCAAAAGGUGGGAUCUUAGUGGAGUUCCAUGUCACCAUGCAAUUGCAUGCUACAGACAUGAGAUGAUUGAUCCUGAGAGUUUGAUGCACUCUUGUUACAGAAUAGAAGCAUUCAAGCUAGCAUACAAACCCAUUGUCAAGCCUUGCAAAGAUAGGAGUGAGUGGCACAAGAUGAAUGGUUGUGAGAUCAAGCCACCCGUCUAUGAAAAAAAGUAGGGAGGCCUUUAAACAAUACUAGGAGAAAGCAGCCUUAUGAGAUUGAAAAGAAAUAUGGAACCAAGGUGAUGAGCAGACAUGGAAUCACAAUAACAUGUUCAUACUGCCAUGAAACAUGCCACAACAUCAAAGGAUGUAAUCAAAGAAAGGCUGGCAUUUUGCCAAAUCUAGCAGAGAGAACAACAAGAAGGGGUCCAAGGGCCAUUCCUGAUGAUGUGUCAGAUGAUGAAAUUGUUUUGGCACAACAAAAUGAUGGCCAAGUCACAGAAGAGGAUGGUCAACUUAACAGAAGGAGGUCCAUGUUGAUGGUCAAGUUACACAUGAGGAGGCCCAUGUUGAUGGCCAUGAUACACAUGAGGAGGUCAUUGUCACACAAGAUGAUGAGGUCAUUGCCACACAAGAUGAUGGAGCAGAUACACCAGUUGUUUUUUAGGAAAAUUCUUCACUUUUGUCCCUUCAUUUUGACCUCUUUUGUCCAAUCCUUUUUGUUGUACUGAUGUUAGCAUGCGAUGUUUGUUUUGUAUAGGUGCAGGACUUUGGACUUACAAUGCUUCAUAGGAUGCAACAAUCUAGACCUAUUCCUAGGGAAGAUACUAAAACCAUUUUGCCAGAUUCUUCAUUCAUCUCACUGGCAGCCAGUUCUCACACUCAGCACAGACAACAACAGCUACAAAUGAAGGCAACCAGACCAUGAAGUUGCUGAAGAUGAAGAGAGAGAAAGAUAGACAUAUGGCAGCCAGGAGAGAUGCAUCACUUGAGGCCAUGAAUGAGAUGGCAGAGAAGAAAGCAAAGGAGGCAGAAGCAAAAAGGCAAGAAAUUGCAAGGAGGAAAGCAGAGUCUUCACAAAGAAGAAGAAGAAGAAGAGCAGCACAAGAGAAGAAAGCUCUGGAAUUUGCAGCAAGGCAGGAAGCUGCAACAACAAGAAAAACUACAUUGCAAGAAGAGAAGGAGGCCAGAACCCUUGAAGCAAUGGCAGCUAAAGCAGAGGCAGCACUGAAGAGAAAAGAAGAUCAAGAAGCAAAGAGAGCUAUAGCAGCACUGAGGAGAAAAGAAGAUCAAGAAGCAAGGAAGAAACAACAAGAAGAGGCCAAGAGAUUAAGAGCUGAGCAGAGGAAGCAGGCAGGACCAAGUGGACAUGUGCCCAAGAAGCUGAAGAGAGUGAACAUGUUUGAUGAGUUUAGAUGAUUCAGUGCUUUUGCACUUGUAAUUUUUUUUGGCAAAAACUACAAUUAGACUCUUUGAAACUGUUGGAGCUGGGAUGAUUCAAUGCUUUUGCACUUGUAAUUUUUUUGGCAAAACUACAAUGAGACUCUUUGAAACUAUUGGAGUUGGGAUGAUUCAGUGCUUUUGCACUUGUAAUUUUUUGGCAAAAACUACAAUGAGACUCUUUAAACUGUUGUAGUUUAGAUGAUUCAGUGCAGUUGCACUUGUACUCAUUCAAUGACUUCAUUCAUUGAAUUCAAAAUGAAAAGUGUUGGAGUUCAGUGGCUUUAUUCACUUAAUUCAAUUUGAAAACUGCAAUGAAUCAGUGGCUUUAUUCACUGUUGGAGUUUAGAUACUUAACUGCAUAAAAUAAAAAAAUAAAAAAAUAAAAAAAAGGGUGGCCUGGGUGUCGAACCCAAGACCUGUGGUGUGAUAAACUGCGUGCAAUGCCAGUGUGAUAGGAACAGUGCUUUGCUCAAGUGUUACUUGACAACCUACUUAUUAUGCUUCCACUCCCCUCCCUGUUAUCUGAAUUAUAACAGUUAACUGAACUUUAACAGUUGUCUAAAUUUAGUUUGCAAAGAACUGAAAUUUUACAGUUAACUGAUUUUAGUUUACGAAGAUAACUGAAUUUUUACAGUUAAAUGAAUUUUAACAAUUGUCUGAAUUUAAUUAUCUGAGAAAGAUUCAGGCAAAAAUUCAGUUAAGACAUAGUUCAAUUAAGAUAAAGAUUCAGACAAAAAUUCAGUUCAGAUUCUAAACCUUAGCAGCUACUUCUUUUGGAAUUAUUGCCUUUUGGAUUGUUGCCUUAUAUAGCAACAAGACUGCACCAACAACAUUUUGUAGCAACAAGGCACUUAUAUAGCAUCACAGCCAGUUGAACACUUAAAUAGCAUCAACACCAGUUCAACAACCAGAAAUUACAAAUAACUUAUGUGCUUAAUAUACAAGCACACCUAACAAACUACUAUUCUAUAACUUAUAUGCGGAAAAUCUGUAUAUUCCAGCAUACCUAACUACAUCUUCUUCAUGUCUGCUACUACAUCUUCUUCAUCUUCAAUUCUUCAUCUUCUGGAGGCGCUCCGAGCGGCGAACCUCCAUGUCAGCUGCCACCUUCCUCUUCAUCUUCCUCUCUGGCUGCGCUGCGACGUCCUAUGCUUGCAGGGCCAAGACCACCUCCACCUCCUUCUUGACGAUGUCAGGAACAUCGAGAAGCAACUCAACGUCAAUGGGGCGGUGCUUGUCACCCUCCCUGGCGACAGGCGCCACCAUCUGGACCUCCGGCUCGAGGACGACGGGCGCCGCCACAUUGACCUCCGGCUCGUCGUCAGAGAGCACAAUCACCUUCGGCUCCUCCCAGCCAGUCGACCAGGACGAGUCGGCGGCGUAGCCAGAGUCGUCGUCGGAGCCGGAGUCGUACUCCGAGUCAGAUGAGAUGUACUCGGAGAUGUCAUCACGCCCGAGGUAGUCGGGAUGGUAGUGGUCCCAGUAGGCCGUGUUGACAGGCGCGGGGACGACCAGGUCAACAUUGUCGGCGCGCUCUGUUCGCGAGCCAACGCGCAACGGAUCCGGCUGCCGCGGCGCAGUGGCGGACCGGUACAUCCACCACCGGGCUCGCUGCCCCGGGUCAUCGGAGCACGUCUCCUGCAUCGCGAAGCGGAGAACAAGUGCAUAAUGGAUACCGUUGUGGUCGGGGUAGGCGCAGUCCAGCUUAUCGUCCGUCAUGACCUUCAAGAGGCCACGCGCGUGGUGACGCAGCAUCGCGCAGCUAGGGAACCACUUCCCGAUCUCCGUCAGGUCUGCACGCAUGGCCUUGUCGUCGCCUACGAGGUCAUCGAUGACCCUCUUCCAAGCGGGGCUGUUCUCCAUGUCCGCGGCGGCGGUGUGGUGGUCGGCGGCGAGGGUUUUCUUGAUGGCUGAGUGGGGGUUUGGUGUGGGGUAACCGAGGCGACGCGGUGGACUGAAGGUGUGUGGAGAGUGGAGCGGUGGACUGAAGGUGAGUGAAGAGUGGAGCGGUGGGUGGGUGGGUGGGCUUAAAGAGCAGAGAAGGAAACCGAAGAGACAUGAGCCAUUGGGCCACUAGCAACUACUAAAUAGUUAGGUUAGUACCUGCCCAUGAUCAAAGCACUACUACUUACCCCACUGGCAUUGCCACCAACGUUCAAUACCAUAGGUCCUGGGUUCGAGACCCAGGCAAAACUCUUUUUGUGUAAUUUUUUUCUUUAAUCAAAAUUUGGUACAGGCAUACAAAUUCAGUCAUAAAAAAUAGCAAAUCUUUCCAAAAGAAGCAACACUGACAAUUAACUUCAAUUUCUUAUCUGAACCCACUUCAAUUUCUUAUUUGAUCCCAAUUUAGUUAACAUUUGACAGAAAAUACAAAUGACACAAAUCUAGGGGGUUCAUAUUCAUUUGACAGAAGGUACACAUUCUAGGAAAGAUACAAAGUCAUUUUAUUACAAUGACACAAAUUCAAUCAAAUUCAUUCAGCAUGCCCUUCAGCUUCCUUAUCUUCUCCUUGGUGGCCUCUAUGUGUUUGAAUAGGUCACCAAUCAUGUACUCAUGCUUCCUUUUCUCAUGCUUCAAGUCAUCCCUCUCUUGAAUCACUUGGUCCCUCUCCUGCACUGCUUGGUCCCUCUAUUUCUCUGCUUUAACCCUGAAUACCUGAUGAAUGUUGUUUACUGACUUGUCUGUCAUCUUCUUCUUCUCAAGUUCUUCCUUUAGAUCAGUCAGAGCAAGUUGUGUGCUGCCUAAUUGGCUCAUUGCCUGCUCCUUCUCAGCCACCAUCUUAGCAAAAUCAAGCUUGAAAUGCCUCAACUCAUUCUCCAUCUUAUGCUUCUCUUCAAGAACCUUCAAGUUUUCUUCAGCACUCACAACAUUCUGUCUGAGCCUCUGUUUUUUCUCCUUUUCAUACAUGGUCCAUAUACUAGCUAGGCUCAUCUUCAGAGCAUCAGGCCACUCAGGGUCAACCCACUCAACAUAUCUGCAUGUAGGUACCUCCUAACAAUUUAGACCAAACCAAAAAUUCAGUUAACUACCAGUAUUCAGUUCUGUGCAUGAUGAUGAAACUUAAAACAUAAAAAUCCAAUUAGCUGCCAGUAUUCAGUUCUGUGCAUGAUGAUGAAACUUAAAACAUACUACAAAUGACUUCCUGUUUAACAGUGCCAAAUGCAAAAAAAAUACUAACCUUCUGUGCACAAGCUAGAAACCUUCUGCCACUAUCAACAGAUUCAAAUGCCACAUGCUUCUCACACAAAGAUCCAUGCCCACAUCUAAAGCUACGCAGAUCUGUAGCCAAGACACUCCAUUCCUCACAGGAAAUUGUGGCAGGUGGCUAAACAAAAGAGAGACAUUUGGAAUUAAUUGAGAGAGAAACCCUAGCUGAGAAACCCUAGAGUGGGUGUUCAAUUGAGAGAGCACACUAACCUUGCUGGUCACAGAGUCAUCUUUAGAAGAACUGGGAAGAUCAUCCCAGGACACCAUGGUUGUUGCUAGCUGAAGAUGAGAAGGGGAUCUGUUAGUGAUAUUGGAGAAAGGAGAGAAGGGAUUUGGUGGUGCACGAAAUUGAAGAUGAAAGAUGAGGAAGAAGGGGAUCUGGUGGUGGUGGUGGGGGAUCUGGUGGUGGACCAAAGCUACAUGUAGAGCGCAAGUUGCUGGGUGGGUGUUUGCAGCAGGUGCAAGUACAUGCUUGCUUUUGAGUUCAGUUGUGUUGAGAAAGGGGGCCCGGGCUGACAGUAAUUUGAAAGCAACGAGGUUAAGUACAAUUCUGACAGAAUUUGAAUUAGGUAAACUACUGUCAGAAUUAGUUUAACUACACUUCUGACAUCAAAUACAUCUGAGUAAUUUCAAAGCAAUUAGGUCAAGCAGACUUCACAUUACUGACAUAUUAUCCAUUACAACCAAGACUUCAUAAUAAGCAAACAAAAGAUCUCUACACUAGCAUUUUAGUAUGCUCAGUUUAGAACAAGAGAUCUCUUAGAACACCUGCACCUACUCAAUUAACAACACUUCACUUCUUCAUAAUUAAGGUGCUCACACAAAGCACUAUAACAAAAGCCAUCAACAGCUUUAGCAGCAGCAAAAUCUCUACCUAAUCCUAAAAGCAUAGCAAUUUGUUGCUUGGUAGCAUACUUAUUCUCAAUGGAGCUGGCAUAAUUAGCUCUUCCAGCCAUGCCCCUUCCAGCUAUGCCUCUGCCUGCCAUUGAUUCAGUCCUCUGCCUCUCAAGCUCUUCCCUCCUGUCCUCAGCUGCACCAAUUGCAUCUACAAUAGCAUCACCAACCAGACUCCUUGUUUCAUCCAGAUGCUGCACAUAUUCAAGCUCCCAGCGCUAGAAAUAACAAGUGACCUGAGAACAGAAAAUUACAGAGUGAAUGAAUCAAUGGCAACCUAGUUAACCAACUACUGUGUUAAUCAGUGCAAUGACUAGUUAACCAAAAUACCAAUUUAAUCAGUGCUCUGCUUCAAUACUACAGUGAGUUGACACGGCAUGAAUCAAUCUACUGAACUGGCACUUACAUGGUGGUUCACGCACUUGUAGAAGAUCCAUCCAUCAUGCUCAUCGGUGCUAGACCGGUAGAACCUCACCUGCUCGCCACAAUCCGGGCACCCAAUCAAUGGUACAACAACGGAGCGGCCACGAAGUGCAGAGCGAUGGAGCUGGAAGACGACAUGAGGGAGGAGGCAGAGGAGGCGGAGGAGGGCGUCGGCAAUGGCUGCGACGGCGGAGGGCAACAAUGUCGACAAUGGCUGCGGCAGCGGUGGAGGCUAGGGUUCGGAGGAGAGGAAGAGAAAAGCGAGGGGAUAAGGAGCAGGCCGACCAGGUGCGACCAGGUGCGCGGUCGGUCCGACCAGGUGUGCGGUCGGUCGACCAGGUCUUGGCGAUUUUGCAAAACCCCCCUCGGAUGCAAUAGUAUUAACCCACGUGAGAUCAGGUGGCGGUCAAAGCCUAGCUGGCGGCCGCUGACUCGGCCAAGUCAGCGAAUACGUACACGAAAACGUAGAUACAUACCAAAAUGAACCCUCUGCGCAAGUACAUAGACUGUAGUUCGGGUAUUUUGAAAUAGUGGUACUAAAGUGUCAGCCAGCUCAAGUUUUGAUACCUAUAGUGAAUUUUGCUCUUUUUGUCUAUCUUCUCCAGGGAAGGGAAUCUCACUCAAUCUGUGUGGCUGUGUCAUCAAUCUAAACCAAGAUGACUGGCAGCGAGACCAGCACGCUCGUGAGGAUUUUGGGCAUGAGUGACUGGCUAGGUCGUUAGUACUCCCUCCAUCUCAGAAUAAAUAUCUUAAUUUUAGUAGUAUAAUUUUAUUAAAGAUUAGUCCAAAGUUGAGAUAAUUAUGUUGGGGCGGAGAAAGUAGUAUUCCCUGCGAUUGUGUGGAGAAUCAUCAGCACAUGAGCCCUGCAUUACCGGUUAGAAGUUGGUUCUUUCUCUGGGUGCCCCAGAAAACUAGGAGCCACCCCUGGAGGCGAUUAGGGUUUCAAUGGAGAACGGCGCUCGUCAACUCUCGUCGGCGGGGCGCAUCAAUCUAGGCUCGGUAGAUGUCGACGUCUGUGGAGCCUAGCGCCAGUUCAGGCGGGCCGCUGUCUCCUCGUGCGGCGAGGGCCCGAUUGGAAGAGGCCACGGGGAAACUAGAUCUCACCGAGGAGGAGGCGACUCCGCUCAUGAUUGAUGAUCUGGAUGAUGGACAAGAACAGAAGUGGCUCAUCGCGGGCAAGAUUCUGCAUCACAAAGUCUUCCAUAUACAAACCAUAGCCAACGCUCUGAGGCCCGCUUGGGGAAACCCUAGGGGCUUGUCCUUCAAGCCGGGGGGAGAAAAUAUCUUUGUGGCGGAGUUUGAGAAUCGUCGCGACCAUGAUCAUGUGCGUGAUGGAUCUGCGUGGCAUGUGAGUCGGCAUGCAGUGAUCUUGGCAGAUUUUGAAGACUGCAUGAGGCCGUCGGAGCUCAAGUUUGAUAAGUUACAGCUAUGGGCUUGGGUCCCAAACCUACCUUUCAAUCUGCGGAACGAGACAUGGGGAAAAGAUAUUGCGAAACAGAUUGAUAAGAAUGUGACUUCAGUACAGUUUGACCCUGUUGGGGGAUUCCUGCGAGCGAGGGUCACGAUUGAUGUAAGCAAACCUUUGCGUAGAUGGAUUCUGAUUGAUUCAGCAAAGAGGAAGUCAAGGGACUGGUAUGACAUCCAAUAUGAACAAGUUCCUAACUUCUGCUUCUCGUGUGGUCGUCUUGGCCACUCCGAUCUAGUCUGUCUGACUCUGGGUACUCGUGAUGAGAAUGGAGAGCUACCCUUUAAUACUAGCUUACGAGCAUCGGAGGACAUAAAGGGUCCUAUAUUGAGUGAUGGCUCCUCAAAGGAGCCGCAGAGUUCGGCAUCUAACAAGAAAGAUACCUCCUCUACAAACAGAAAAGUAGGGGCUCAGGCUGAGGUUACGUCUCCACUCAAGAAGAAAGCUCCACCGAAGAGGAAGGGUGGACCUCAGUCGGAAAAGGUGUACCGUAGGGUGGAUCCUUUAGCCCUCCAGGGCACUGGUUCCCCUACAAAUAUGGUGGUGUUUAAGGCUUAGAGGAGCGAUGACACAAACAGUGGGAGCGAUGAAGGUGGUGCAAAGUCUACAGAGCCUGAUCCAAAGAAGAAAAAGCCCACCCCCCAUCCUCUGAAAUUUCGGCAGCGGCUGCUGGUCAGCCCUGCCAGGAGCCAUGAAACAUCUAAGAUGGAACUUCGGGGGGCUUGGGAACCCCGAGGCAGUUCGCGAGCUUCGCAAGAUUGUGAAGCAAGAAGGGCCUGCUCUAGUUUUUUUGAUGGAAACAAAGAUUAGGGCUAAGAGAGUGGAAGUUUUGCAGCAAAAUCUUGGUUUGGCGGGAUGUUUUGCGGUGGAUAGUGUUGGGCUCAGUGGCGGCAUUGGUCUCUUUUGGUCAAAAGAGGUGUCGGUUGAGCUCAAGAAUUACAGUUCCGGUCACAUUGAUGUAGUGGUCCGGCGAGUUGAUACCACGUCUCAAGAGUGGAGAUUCAUGGGGUUCUACGGGGCUCCAAGAAGUGAGGGUCGACAUAACAGCUGGAGUUGUUUGAGAAGAUUACAUGCUAUACCUCACCAAGCAUGGUUAUGUCUAGGGGAUUUCAAUGAAACGCAGCACAACUCGGAACACUUUAGCAGGGCGCAGAGGCCCGAGUGGCAGAUGCGUGCAUUUCGAGAGACUCUGGAUGAGUGUGCCCUACAGGAUAUUGGGUUCUCGGGGGUGCCUUUCACAUGGAAUAAUGGUCAAGCGGGCGGCAUGAAUGUAAAUGCCCGGCUCGACAGAGGUGUUGCGAACGAAGCUUUUCUUCAAAGCUUUGAGUUUGUACGAGUGCGUCAUAUAAGUGCGACAGAAUCAGACCGCUGCUUUGUCCUGAUUGAGACUCGAGAAGCGCAUAUUUCACGAGGGUCAAAAUAGUUUAGGUAUGAGGACAUUUGGUAGUUCCAUGCUGAGUAUGACAAGUUUGUCGCUAAUGCAUGGCGACGAAAUCAUACUGGACAGGGGCUUGGAAGUAUCCAAAACACCAUGAAACUUCUCCAAACUGAUCUAGGGACAUGGGGUGCUAAGGAGUUCGGGUGUCUUGCAAAAACGGUUCGAAAACUGCAGGAAAAGUCGGAAAAGUUAAGGCGUCAGUCUAUUGGCAGAGGACCGUCCGAUGAGGAAAGGGCUACAAUGCUGAAACUUAGGGAAGCACUGCGGCAAGAGGAGGUUUGGAUUCGGCAGCAUUCAAGAGUGCCAUGGUUGAGAAAGGGUGACCGAAAUAUGGCAUAUUACCAUGCACAGGCGGCGCAGUGGAAGAGGAUGAAUCGUAUUGCUAACCUUCAAUGCUCAGAUGGGUCCUUAUGCGCGUCUGAAGUCGAAGACAAGGCAGAAGUGCAGGCGUUCUAUCAGAACCUGUAUUCUUCCCAAGGUGUAAAUGAUAUGAAUGAGCUGCUGAAUUUUGUCCCGGCUCGUGUUACCGCGGACAUGGACGCGUCUCUGGAUAAACCCUUCCAGCCCGAUGAGGUGCGGACGGCUCUGUUUGAGAUGUCACCGUCCAAAGCCCCGGUGUCGACAGGUUUACUGUGUGUUUUUUCCAAAGGCACUGGGACCUUAUUCAAGGAGACCUAGUACCGGCGAUUCUUGGUUUUUUGAAUGGGGGAGAACUACCAUUUGGCUUCAAUGAUACUUCCAUAACUCUUAUACCAAAGGUACGAAACCCGCAAUCGAUACCUCAGUACUGUCCCAUCUCAUUGUGUCUAGUUCCUUAUAAAAUCACAGCCAAAAUGAUUUCUAUUCGGCUCAAAGAGCUACUAGAUACAGUGGUGGGUGAGGAACAAAGUGCUUUUGUUCCCGGCCGCCUGAUUACUGAUAAUGUGGUUGUGGCCUUUGAGAGUGUUCACACCAUGAGAAGGCGGAAGAAAGGAAAGAAUUAUACGUGUGCUGUCAAGUUAGAUAGGAUGAAGGCCUAUGACAGAGUGGAAUGGCAUUAUUUACAGGCAAUCAUGAUCAAGCUCGGCUUCAGCCUUAAUUUUGUGAAUCUAGUAAUGAAAUGUGUAUCCUCAGUAAGGUUCACGGUUAGUGAAAGGAUCGAUAUGGUUGACUAGAGGGGGGUGAAUAGGCAACUAACAAUUUUAGCUUUUCUUUAACAAUUUAAACUUUGCAUCAAAGUAGGUUGUCUAGAUAUGCAACUAGGUGAGCAACCUAUAUGAUGCAACAAGGAGAGGAACACAAGCAAGCAAGAGAUAAGAAACAAAUAAGCUUGCUCAAAUAAAGGCACGAGAUAACCAAGAGUGGAGACGGUGGAGACGAGGAUGUGUUGCCGAAGUUCCUUCCCUUUGAGAGGAAGUACGUCUCCGUUGGAGCGGUGUGGAGGCACAAUGCUCCCCAAGAAGCCACUAAGGCCACCGUAUUCUCCUCACGCCCUCACACAAUGCGAGAUGCCAUGAUUCCACUAUUGGUGCCCUUGAAGGCGGCGACCAAACCUUUACAAACAAGGUUGGGGCUCUCUCCACAACUUAAUUGGAGGCUCCCAACAAAACCACAAAGCUUCACCAGAAUGGAAUAUGGCUCCGAGGUGACCUCAACCGUCUAGGGUGCUCAAACACCCAAGAGUAACAAAAUCCACACAAGAAAGUAUGGGGGAAGCAAAAAUCCUUUGGUGGAAUUGUAGAUCUAGGUCUCCUCCUUCAAUCCCUAGCAAAUCAACAAGUUUGAGUGGCUAGAGAGAGAGAUCGGGCAAGAGAGCUUGAGGUGCAUUAAUGGUGGAGUGGGAGAGGUCAAAGGUGAGAGUGGUAGGUGGGAGAAGCUCUCUUAAAUACCAACCCUCUAAAUCCAGCCGUUGCUGCGCUUUCAGCCCCGCAGCGGUACAAUUAGUCCUUGUCCCGGUACAACCGGGACUCACGGUGUAGCUGCAGAACCCUACCAGGCGGUACAACCGGGCCACUAGGCGGUGGUACCGGUUUAAGAGAAUGACCGGACCAACCGCCCAGCCACCGCACAACUACCGCCUCGAAACAGAGACGAGACCGGUACUUGAGCGGUGCAAGACCGGAACAACCGCAUGGCCUUAAGCUCUUGGGCGGCGAAGUUCUGAGUGGAAGAACCGCUCAGACCACCGGUGGUACCGGUCAACGAGGAUCGACCGGAUCAACCGGGCCACCACCGCACAACUACCGCCUCGGAACAGAGACGAGACCGGUACUUGAGCGGUGCAUGGCUGGAACCACUGUCCUAGCCUUUGUUGAGCAAGGUGGCGGUACCACCGCCCGGAGGCAGCGGUACAACCGCUCGGUCAAAGUAGGAGAGCGUCAAGGUCCAGCGGUACAACCGCUCCAGGGAGCGGUACAACCGCUGGGAAGAGCAGAAACACGAAGGAAAGACAGGGGGAUCUCUCUCUCACAACUGAGGAAGACAAAGGAGGGGUGAGGAAAGUGUACGUGAACUGAUUCCCCCAGAGCUUCCUAGUGAGGAUUCCCUCUUGAUAGUACGGGAACUCUAUGACCAAAGAAAAUAAAAGCGUAGAGGACACCUCUUCGAUCUUUUCCUACGAGAGGCAAUAGCAAUCCGAUGUAAGCCUAAGCAUCGAGAACCUGAAACAUAUAGCACACGAUUAGACCACAAAGGGUUGUCAUCAUCAUCCAAAACAUAAAGUAGGGAAAUGCCCUUUCAAUCUCCCCCUUUUUGGUGGAUGAUGACAACAACACGAUUUUCUAGGGACAAGUCAAAGAAUUCUAGACGGAACUCCCCCUGAAUGUGUGCCCCAAUAGGAACUAGCUGUUAGAAAGCAUGGGCACACUUACAGGACUAGAAUCCCCCUAGAUUUUAUAGACUCACCACCCUAAGCACAAAAAGGAGAGACAAUAUAAUACUUAGAGUGCAAUAAUAACGAAAAAGACCGAUGAAUGAAAAGGUAAGAGGAGUAACAUAAGUCUCACACACAGCAAGGAACGAAACAAGUCCACGAACAAAGACCGACACUAAAACACGAGAAAAAAAGGGAAAAACCCAUGCAAAUCCCCGGGACCUAUAGAACCCUCUCCCCCUUUGGCAUCAAAACACCAAAAAGGAAAAGAGCGAAGCUAGCGUCCCAAAGCUCAGGCGUCCUCCUCUGACUCCUCGGUCGCAUCUGGAUCCUCAUCAUCAGAGUCGUCAUCGUCGUCGUGAUCGGAUUCUUCCAUGGCAUUGUCAGCUGCUGCAAAUGAGGAGGAUGGCUGGGGAGGGGCUUCAUCAUCAGUCCAGGUGCUAUGGGUGGAAAUCCAACGCUCCUCUGGGGUGAUGCUCUUCUCAGAGCCACUCUGAACCGGCAUGUUGAGGUGCUUCAUCAUUGCAAUUUGGCGACGUCGUGCCAGCUUCUCAUUGACAUGUGCCUCAUACAUCUUCUUCUGGAUGUCAGCCUGGAGACAAAAGGUCUUCUUCACCUUGGCAGUGAGUUUGGCCACCCACGAAGGCUUGGCCCCUGGCUCCAGCUCAAAGUCCUCAUCGUCAGAAGUAGCAUAGACAUCCUCAGGAGCAUUUUCAGGGAAGCGAGGCUCGGCAUGCUUCUUCUUCUUAAGGAGCUUGACCUCAUGAACAGUGAGGUUGUCUGGAGACGUGAGGAGCUCUCCAGGACGACAAACAGCCCACACAGAGUUCAGAAAGCACAUGACAAACGGGGCAUAGAUUGGGACUUUAUGGUAGAUGACCAUGUUGUACAUCUCAUGCCACAUCCAAUUUGACACAUCAAACGUUGCUCCUGUCCCCACCAUGGUCUUCAUAGAAACCAUCAAAUCAACCAGAUAACCAUGAAUCUCAUCUUGAUUGCCCACCUUGGGCAAGAGCACAUUGCGGAACACUCGGUGCAUGAUGUCAUAGACCUUCCCCAAAUCCUUGGAUUCUCCAAUAAUCCCACGACCCCGAAUGUACAGAGGGGCAAGCUUCUCCUUAAGCAUGGACUCAGGAAAGUCAUGAGGACGAAUGCCACCCCUUCCUUCCAGACCGGUAUCCUCGUACCCAAUAGCAUUGCAGAAUGCCCUCCAGGGAACGUGAAAUAGUUCAUCGCGGCACAUGAAGGUGAGAGUGCGCGCAUCAUCUUCCCCAAAAUGAACCGUGGCAUAGAACUGAUGGAUGAGUUGAACAUCAAAGUCACAGUUGACUGACAUGAGCUUGAUAAGAUCAAACUCCUCGCAGAGAGCCAACGCCUCACCAAAAUACUCCAUGUUGUUCCUCCAAUGGUCAAGAUCAAUUGUCCACUGCUUGGCAUAUCUGUUCUUGUUGUGCUCAAAGAGUUCAUGAACAAUCCGCACUUGCAUCUCAUUCCGGAACUGAACGGUGGUCCAGCGGGGAGCAAUGGGAACCUCAUACGGAUUCUUUGAUCAAUAGGCUUCCCAAUCCUUGGCUUUCCAACGAUGCAACGGCAUAACCACAUGUUGCUUAGCAGCUGCAGACUUUUCACGGCGAGUGGGCUUGGUGGGAAUCACAACUUCUUCUUCAUCAUCAGACACAACCGGGCGCAGGGUCCUUCGUGCCCUCUUCUUGUUCUUGAGAGGAGCAGAGGGAGAACUAGAGCCACCUGAACACACACACGAAAAGAACACACAAAAACCCAACACGAAUGAGAGGAUUGCACCCACCAGCAGAAAAGGAACAAGUUGCAACAACAGAGAAGAUAGAACAGUGCUUUGUGGUUGAUAUACUCCGGUUGUACCGGAUCUUCUGCCGGUAGUACCGCUCCAGCGGUUGUACCGCCCGGAGGGGCGGUAGAACCGCUGACAGUGGCGCCACCAGGAAAGAUAGAUCUAACUGAGGCAUACGAAUCACACAAGUAAUAUUCCGAAUUCUAAGUGCUGCAAACAAGACAGGAGGCAACCAAAGAUCUCUUCUACUCCAUAGUUCAACCACUAAUCGCGGAAAGUUAAGUAAUGCCCUAGACAAGGAAGAACCCUAGAAAGAACUAGGAGCAAAGAACAUGAGGCAUUACCACCAUCCAUGGGAAGAGAUCGGGAGGCCUCCACGGAGAGAAUCCAUGGAGAGCCAAGGAUCCGAAGCGCGAGACGCACUCCGGGGCAGGGGUAGAGAUGGCCGGCGGCUAGGGCAAAGAGAAGAUGAACGAGGAUAAAGGGAAAAAGACAACCCUUCAGCCCCGUCGAGUAUAUAUAGGCCCGUAGACACGCCCCGGUAGAACCGCUAAGGGGAGCGGUUGUACCGCUCGUCUGGUGCAGACCGGUGGUUGGAGGUGAUACUUCCGGUGCCUGGGAGGCAGCAGUAGUACCGCUUGGCGACAGCCGGUAGUACCGGACGUAGGUUACCGUGGGUUGGGCGGUGGAACCACCCAAGCACCGAUCCAUUGGGACGGCACAACUCGAUACCAGCGGUAGAACCGCCCGUGAUACCGGUUGUACCGCCCGACCACCUAUACCCAAGCCAAGAUCAAAUGAGUGCAAUCCGAAGGGAGGAAGAAAGAGCACAAAAGCAACACCCAAGGAGAACCCAACACAAAGAGCAAAGAAGGAACGAGAGAAAACAACACGAGGACAACAAGGCUAACUCCAACCUCUCGAAGAGAGGACGACGACCGAGGCCACCUAUGUUUGAGUCAAUUGGUAUGGCACCGCGAAGAAUUAUCCUUGGGUCCAUGGCCAAAACUCGUCUUUGAAGCACAAGUACCAUCAAACAUGGCUAAUGUGAAAAGACUCGAUCAAUUUAUGCAUAAUAGGGGGAGGGAGAGUUCAUUGAGAGAACAUCACUCCCCCUAUGUUCAUGCCUACAUCUAAACAAGACAACAUGUUGAGUACGGUGGGGUGUGCAAGAGUUCAAGCAACAUUGCUUGAAUCAAUGAUAUUUAGCUCAUGCCUUAACUCGUGAAAUCUUGCUUCAUCCAAGGGCUUCGUGAAGAUAUCUGCAAGGUUAUCAUGAGUGUUGACAUAGUUGAGCUCGAUCUCUCCUCACCUAAUGUGAUCCCGGAUGAAGUGAUACCGGAUCUCAAUAUGCUUCGUCUUGAAGUGUUGCACCGGGUUGAGAGAGAUCUUGAUGGCACUUUCAUUAUCACACCAAAGGGGCACUUUGUCACAAAUGACACUGUAAUCCUUUAGAGUUUGCCUCAUCCAUAAGAGUUGUGCACAACAACUCCCAGCUACAACAUACUCUGCCUCGAUGGACGAGAGAGACACACAACUUUGCUUUUUGGAAGACCAACUUACCAAAGAGCAACCAAGGAAUUGGAACCCUCCGGAAGUGGACUGCCUAUCCACUUUGUCUCCCGCCCAAUCGGAAUCCGAGUACCCUACAAGCUUGAAGUUUGAUCCUCUUGGAUACCAUAAGCCAAAGUUUGGGGUAUGAGCCAAAUAUCGAAAGAUUCGUUUGACCGCCACAUAGUGACUUUCCUUAGGUGCAGCUUGAAACCAUGCACAAAUUCCCACACUCAACAUGAUAUCCGGUCUAGAUGCACAAAGGUAAAGCAAGGAACCAAUCAUGGAGUGAUAUACCUUUUGAUCCACCACUUUACCAUUGGGAUCUAAGUCAUGUUGGCACUUGGUGGGCAUUGGAGUGGAAGUCGGCUUGACGUCACUUAGUUUGAAUCUCUUGAGCAUGUCUUGAGUGUAUUUGGAUUGAUUGAUGAAGGUUCCUUCUCUUCUUUGCUUCACUUCGAACCCUAGAAAGAACUUCAACUCUCCCAUGGAGGACAUCUCGAACUUUGAGGUCAUGAGAGCGGCAAAUUCCUCAUUGAAAGCUUUGUUAGGAGAACCAAAGAUAAUGUCAUCAACAUAUAAUUGGCACACAAACAACUCCUCUUUGACCUUCUUAGUAAAAAGAGUGGGGUCGAUUAGACCAACUUCAAAACCACGAUCUUGUAGCAACUCGGUAAGGUGGUCAUACCACACACGUGGGGCUUGUUUAAGGCCAUAGAGUGCCUUAUCGAGUUGAUACACAUGAUCGGGAAGGUAGGGAUCCUCAAAGACGGGGGGUUGCUUGACGUAAACCAAUUCAUUAAUAGGACCAUUAAGAAAAGCACCCUUCACAUCCAUUUGUUGUAACUUAAAGUUAUGAUGAGAAGCAUAUGCAAUCAACAUGCGAAUGGAUUCAAGACGAGCAACGGGAGCAAAGGUUUCACCGUAGUCAAUACCCUCGACUUGGGAGUAGCCUUGUGCUACCAAACGAGCCUUGUUGCGAAUGAUCAUCCCAUGGGCAUCUUGCUUGUUCUUGAAUAUCCACUUGGUUCCAAUGACAUUGUGGUUCCCCAUUGGCCUUGGCACCAAUCUCCACACUUUGUUGCGCUCGAAGUUGUUGAGUUCUUCAUGCAUGGCAUUGAGCCAAUCCGGAUCUUCUAGCGCCUCAUAGACCUUGUGGGGUUCCACACAAGAGACAAACGCGUGAUGCUCACAAUAAUUUGCUAAUUGUCUACGAGUGCUUACCCCCUUUUUUAAGCUUCCAAGCACAUUCAUCAUGAGAUGAUCCUUGGUGGAGAGCUUGGAUGCAAUCUUGGCGGCAUGACGCUCUAAUUCCUCCUCGGUGGUGAGUUGAGGAGCGGUUACUUGAUCAUCUUGAGCGCCGUCAUGAACUUGUUCUUGAUCUUGAACUUGCUCGGGGGAGAGAACUUGACCUUGGGCAUCACUUGGUGUCAACACCGUCUUGAGUAUGAUAUUGCCCUUGGUCUUGUUCAUGAGGUUGAGGGCCUUCACUUUGUUCUUCAAAAGCGUGUGGGCCUUGGGUUGGUGAUGGAUCCACUUGAGUGGAGCAUUGUCCUUCUCCUUCGGCCACAAGGGUUUCCUCAAUGGGUAGGAUAAAACCAACACCCAUUAUUCUUAUGGCUUGAGGAGGAAUUUCAUCACCUACAUCACAAGUGCCACUUUGCUCCACUUGGGAGCCGUUAUUCUCAUCAAACUCCAUGUUACACGUCUCCUCAAUAAGUCUCGUGGAUUUAUUGAGGACACGGUAAGCAUGAGAGUUUGUAGCAUAACCAACAAAUAUGCCCUCAUAAGCUCUAGCCUCAAAUUUAGACAACCGAACACCUUUCUUGAGAAUGAAACACUUACACCCGAAUACCCGGAAGUACUUGAGAUUGGGCUUGUUACCGGUGAGUAUCUCAUAUGGAGUCUUGUUCAAGCCCUUGCGGAGGUAGAGCCGAUUGGAUGCAUGACACGCGGUGUUGAUGGCUUUGGCCCAAAAGUUGUACGGAGACUUGAACUCCGCCAUCAUGGUCCUUGCCGCAUCCAUCAACGUCCGGUUCUUCCUCUCCGCAACACCGUUUUGUUGAGGGGUGUAGGGUGCGGAAUAUUGAUGCUUGAUUCCCUCAUCACUAAGAAACUCAUCCAAGGUGUAUUUCUUGAACUCGGUGCCGUUGUCACUUCUUAUUGUCAAGAUCUUUGCAUUGUGUUGACGUUGUGCUUCAUUUGCAAAGUCAAUGACAGUUUGUUGGGUCUCGCUCUUCCCCUUGAAGAAAUACACCCACAUGUACCUUGAGUAGUCAUCCACAAUCACCAAGCAAUACUUCCUACCUCCAAGACUAUCGAAGGAUGGAGGCCCAAAGAGAUCCAUGUGAAGGAGCUCCAAAGGCCUCUUUGAAUAAAUGAUAGUCGUGGGAGGGUGAGCAUUCUCAUGUAGCUUUACUUCAAUACAGGCACUGCAAGCACGAUCUUUAGCAAAACUAACAUUCGUUAGUCCACGAACAUGGUCCCCCUUGAGGAGACUUUGCAAAGAUCUCAUAUUGACAUGGGCUAAACGGCGAUGCCAAAGCCAUCCCACAUCAACUUUAGCCAUUAGGCAUGUCGCGGUCUUAGUGGGUCGCUCCGAAAAGUUAAUCACAUAUAGACCGUUCUCGACAUUCCCAACAAAGGCUACUUUAAGAGUCUUGCUCCACAAGAGGGCCACGGUAUCGAUAUCAAAGAAAGUGGCAAAGCCCAUGAUUGCAAGUUGACGAACCGAAAGUAAAUUGUAUGCAAGGGACUCAACAAGCAUGACCUUCUCGAUCGUGAGAUCAUGAGAGAUGACCACCUUGCCAAGUCCCAAUACCUUAGAAGAUGAGGCGUCACCCCACUCGACAUUGGUGGGCAUAGAUGGAACCUUGUGCACGUCCACCACCAAGUCCUUGCUUCCGGUCAUAUGAUUUGUAGCUCCGCUAUCGAGCAACCAUGAUCCACCACCGGAAGCAAACACCUACAAGAGAUCAAUGCUUGGUUUUAGGUACCCAUUUUGUAAUGGGUCCUUUGAUGUUAGUAACAAGGGUCUUUGGAACCCAAAUAGACCAUUCAAUGUACUCAUGAAGAGAACCAACAAAUUUGGCAUAAACAUGCCCAUCACUAGCACGGCAUAACACAUAAGAAGGAUUAAAAUCGCCAGCUUUGUUGGGAGGGGUGACAUUGCCCUUCUUGACAUUGUUCUUCUUCUUCUCCUCGAAGGCACUCUCUCCCUCCUUCACAAAGGUUUGCAUGAGAGGAGGAGGUCGUUUGGUCUUGUCAUUCUUCUUCUUGUUCUUGGAGUCGGGCACGUACCCAACCCCUUUCUUGGCCACAACCCCCUUUUGGUUGAUCAAGAGAUCGUUGAGGUUCUUCUUGCCUUGUAUGCAAGUUGCAAGACCUCUCUCAAGUUGUCCCUUUAGCUUAGCGUUCUCCUCAAUGAGAUGCACAUGCUCACAACACGGGUUAGUAGCAUUUGCAUUAUCAAUUAACAUCAUACGAGGGAAAGUGGCUUUUUCCUUGGUUAGCUUUACUUGAAGUUGAUCAUGAGACUCUUUGAGGCUAGCAUGAGCACCCUUCAAGACCUUGUGAGCCUUGUCAAGUAGAUCAAACUCCCCUUUGAGUCUAGCAAGAUCAACCUCAAGUUCGGCCUUCUCGGAAUUUAGCACAUGAGAAACUAUGAGGACAUGAUCAUAAUCUUUCUUUAACUUAGCAUGAUCAACAUUGUGUGACUCCUCAAGAGCCAAACGUAGACCACGCUCUUCCUCAAGAGCAUUGGAAAGAUCCGAAAUCUCAUCGGCAUAGUCACGACUAUGCCCUUCCAUCUUAGUGAUGGUGUCUUCGUGAACCUCAAUCAUGUCAUUGGCUUCACCAAGUUGUUCCAAGAGAGCAACAAAGUGCUUCUUGGAUUUUCCCUUGAGUUUGCCCAUAAAGGCCUCAAACUCGUUAGCCUCCACAUUAGCUCCCUCAAGUUCAUUAAUGCUAUCCGUCGGAGAAGGAUGAUUAAUGAUGGUAGUUUUGAUGUUGGGGGUUACCUUGUUGGUGGCUUUAUCCAUGAGGCACUUGGCGGUGAUGCUCUCAUUGGGUGAGUCGAAGAGAGACACCCGUGACGUCGUCGCAAUGGCAACAGAGGCCAUGGCAACCGACUCAUCAUCUUCAUCAUUGUCAUCAUCCUCAUUGUACUCUUCUUGCACAACCAAAGCCUUGGGAGGAGUCUUCUUGGUGAAGUUGUUCUUGUUGGGGAACGACUUGGCCUUGUCCUUUCAGAUGAGCUUGCCACCAUUGUCUUCCCUCUUCUCAUACGGGCAUUCUGCAAUGAAAUGACUCACGUUGCCGCAAUUGUAGCAAGUCCUUAUACGUUGCUUGCCCCUCGUGCCACUCGAGUUGUUUUUGCUAAAGUUUGGCCUCGACUUUUUCUUGCUCCAAAAUUGCCUUGAAGCAAGUGCCAUGUGUUCAUGAUAUGCAUACUUCGUAUCUUCGGGGUUGCUCUCCUCUUCUUCCUCUUCUUCUUCUUCCACGGUGAGCUUGGCCUUUAAUGCAAGGUUAGGCUUCUUUGCACGUUGAGAACGGAGCACCGCAUUGUCAGCGGUCUUGUCCAAAAUGUUCAUGGCCACAAACUCAUCCAACACUUCGCUUGAGGUCAAAGUGUGGAAGUCCGGUCUUUGACGAAUGAUGGAGGACAUGGCCUUGUGAUAGGGCAUCAUUGCCUUGAGGAAUUUGCACUUGAUCCAAUUGUCAUCCGUGUCCUUGCUCCCAUGAUCUCGUAGUGAGACCGCGAGUUUGGUUACUCUCCGAUAAAGCUCACGAGGUUCUUCAUCUUCUUUCAUUGCAAACUCAUCGGCCUCAUCUUGUACCACUUCAUAGUUGGAGCGUUGAAUGCUUGCGCUUCCCCGGUAGAGAGAGACAACACAAUGCCAUGCAUCUUUGGCCAAGGCGAAGGGACGAAGAUGAGGUAGGUCUUCGGGUGGAAUUGCAUCUUGAAUGAUGAAGAGAGCAUUCUCAUUAAAUUGAUUGUCCGCGGCUUCUCGAGGAGUGAAGUUGCUUGGAUCAUGUGGAUAGAAACCUUCUUCAAUGAUUCUCCAAAGGUUAGUGUUCACAUGAUUUAAAUGACGUUUAAAACGGUAAACCCAAGAAUCAAAAUCCUCAUUUUUCACAAUCUUAGGGGGAGGACCGACAUGAUUCAAAUGAGUGGAAGGAACCGGUCCACCAUAAACAAGUGGUGGUUCCACAUGGGCAAAGAUGCCGGUUCCAUUCUUACCACUAGAAGAAGGAGCCUUUUCACUACUAGCUUCCCCCUUGUCGGGGAUAGCAUCCGUCACCUUGUUGGCGGGGUCACCCACUUUCAACGGUGUGGUGGAUAGUUUAAGCCCCUCAAUAAAUUUAGUAAACAUGCUUUCAACUUCGGUCAUCAUGGAGGUUAUCAAUGUCUCCAAGGCCACAUUGAACUCCUCACGAGAGACCGAGGUUCCCCCAUCGCCCGUAGACGAGAUUGGAUUCACACUGGAGUGUUCCUCCACACCGUCUACGGUAUCAACCAUACUCUUUGGACGGUAAAGUCCUUAAUAAAGAGAUGAGGCUCUAAUACCAAUUAAAAGGAUCGAUAUGGUUGACUAGAGGGGGGGGGGUGAAUAGGCAACUAACAAUUUUAGCUUUUCUUUAACAAUUUAAACUUUGCAUCAAAGUAGGUUGUCUAGAUAUGCAACUAGGUGAACAACCUAUAUGAUGCAACAAGGAGAGGAACACAAGCAAGCAAGAGAUAAGAAACAAAUAAGCUUGCUCAAAUAAAGGCACGAGAUAACCAAGAGUGGAGACGGUGGAGACGAGGAUGUGUUGCCGAAGUUCCUUCCCUUUGAGAGGAAGUACGUCUCCGUUGGAGCGGUGUGGAGGCACAAUGCUCCCCAAGAAGCCACUAGGGCCACCGUAUUCUCCUCACGCCCUCACACAAUGCGAGAUGCCGUGAUUCCACUAUUGGUGCCCUUGAAGGCGGCGACCGAACCUUGACAAACAAGGUUGGGGCUCUCUCCACAACUUAAUUUGAGGCUCCCAACAAAACCACAAAGCUUCACCAGAAUGGAAUAUGGCUCCGAGGUGACCUCAACCGUCUAGGGUGCUCAAACACCCAAGAGUAACAAAAUCCACACAAGAAAGUAUGGGAGAAGCAAAAAUCCUUUGGUGGAAGUGUAGAUCUAGGUCUCCUCCUUCAAUCCCUAGCAAAUCAACAAGUUUGAGUGGCUAGAGAGAGAGAUCGGGCAAGAGAGCUUGAGGUGCAUUAAUGGUGGAGUGGGAGAGGUCAAAGGUGAGAGUGGUAGGUGGGAGAAGCUCUCUUAAAUACCAACUGUCUAAAUCCAGCCGUUGCUGCGCUUUCAGCCCCGCAGCGGUACAACCGGUCCUUGUCCCGGUACAACCGGGACUCACGGUGUAGCUGCAGAACCCUACCAGGCGGUACAACCGGGCCACUAGGCGGUGGUACCGGUUUAAGAGAAUGACCGGACCAACCGCCCAGCCACCGCACAACUACCACCUCGAAACAGAGACGAGACCGGUACUUGAGUGGUGCAAGACCGGAACAACCGCAUGGCCUUGAGCUCUUGGGCGGCAAAGUUCUGAGCAGAAGAACCGCUCAGACCACCGGUGGUACCGGUCAACGAGGAUCAACCGGAUCAACCGGGCCACCACCGCACAACUACCGCCUCGGAACAGAGAUGAGACCGGUACUUGAGCGGUGCAUGGCCGGAACCACCGUCCUAGCCUUUGUUGAGCAAGGUGGCGGUACCACCGCCGGGAGGCAGCGGUACAACCGCUCGGUCAAAGUAGGAGAGCGUCAAGGUCCAGCGGUACAACCGCUCCAGGGAGCGGUAAAACCGCUGGGAAGAGCAGAAACACGAAGGAAAGACAGGGGGAUCUCUCUCUCACAAAUGAGGAAGACAAAGGAGGGGUGAGGAAAGUGUACGUGAACUGAUUCCCCUAGAGCUUCCUAAUGAGGAUUCCCUCUUGAUAGUACGGGAACUCUACGACCAAAGAAAAUAAAAGCGUAGAGGACACGUCUUCGAUCUUUUCCUACGAGAGGCAAUAGCAAUCCGAUGUAAGCCUAAGCAUCGAGAACCUGAAACAUAUAGCACACGAUUAGACCACAAAGGGUUGUCAUCAUCAUCCAAAACAUAAAGUAGGGAAAUGCCCUUUCAAUUAGGGUGAAUGGCGAGCUCCUUCCGUUUUUUGAUCCCUCUAGGGGUCUGCGACAGGGCUGCCCCAUGUCACCGUUUCAUUUUCUCCUUUGUGCGAAAGGUCUCACAUCAUUGUUGAAUUCUUAUGGAGACGGUUAUGUGGACAGGGGCAUACGAGUGUCUUUUCGAGCGCCCUGGGUGAGCCAUCUGCUUUUUGCCGAUGACAACCUCAUUUUUAUUAGUGCAACACAGGAGAGUGCUGACAGGCUCAAUGCUAUUCUACUCAUAUAUGCAAUGUGUUCGGGCUAGUCAGUGAAUCAAGAUAAAAGUGCUAUCUUCUUCUCACCAAAUACGCCGAACACCAAAAGGCAUACUGUUAAGUUUGUCCUAGGCAUUCAGGUGGAAGCUUUCAGUGAUCGAUACCUUGGUCUACCGACCGCGGUUGGUAGGAUCACCAGUGGCACCUUUGAUCAUAUCGGUGACCGAUCGAAGGGGAAGAUGAAUGGUUGGGCAGAGAGGCUUCUAGCUUGCGCUGGAAGAGAGUCACUCAUUAAAUCAGUCAUCCAAGCUAUCCCAACUUUCAGCAUGAGCUGCUUUCUUUUGACAAAGAAGGUACGCAAAGGGUUAACUGCUAGCAUGGAAAAAUUCUGGUGGAGUGGAUCCCUUGAUCGACGGUCUAUGCAUUCGCCGUCUUGGGAGAAACUUGCAUCUCCAAAAAUCUGUGGUGGAAUGGGUUUUCGUGAUCUUGAGCUGUUUAAUCUUGCGCUCUUGGGCAAACAUGGAUGGAGAUUCAUCACAAACCCUAACUCACUAUGUGUGCGGGUAAUGAAGGACGUUAUUUCCCUGAUUCUGAAUUCAUGGAGGCUACUGUUCCGCAAUCAGCCUCGGCCAUUGGGCGAGCUAUAGUGGCAGGAAGAGGAGGGCUUCAAACAGGGCUGGUUAAGAGGGUGGGUGACGGGAGCUCUAUCUCCAUUUGGAACGACCAAUGGAUACCCGGUCUCUCCACCCUUGCCCCAACGGUUAUGCCAGGAGGAACCACACUGGCUACUGUUGAUGAGUUGAUUGAUACUAAUAAUUGGACUUGGCGAAGGGAGCUAAUCCGAGACACCUUCAUAGCCCCUGAUGCCGAUGCAAUUCUGAAUAUCCCACUACGACGGGGUGGUGGGGAUGAUUUCCAAGCUUGGGCCCAUGAAAGAAGUGGCAUCUACUCUGUCAAAUCUGCGUACCGUGCUCUUGUGAAUCAGAACGAGCGAAUUGCUCUAGAUGAAGGGACGGUUACCAAUACCUCACAGACAAACGAGCAGAUGUGGAAGAAAUUAUGGAAGCUCAAGGUACUGCCGAAGGUACGUGUGUUCUGGUGGUGAGUCAUUAGGGGAAUCCUACCAGAUGAAAGCACUCUGCGGCGUCGUCACAUCAAAGUUAUAAGCAGAUGCAAUGUCUGCCAUGCUAUGAAUGAGGACUUAAUGCAUGCACUAAUGCAUUGCUCUCACGCUAAGCUAUUUUGGGAGCAAGCCUUUGCUCUUUUUGGCACUCGGAGGCCGUGCUUGCAUCCUAGUACCUGGUCUUGUGAUAUCAUUUGUGAUGAUCAUUUUUCAGAUAUUGAGAGGGCUCAAAUGAUCUCAGUUAUGUGGACGAUAUGGCACUCAAGAAACAGAAUCACGCAUGAUGACGAUCAGUUGGAUCCUUUCUCUUCGGUUCGACGCAUCAGAGAGGACCUGGCCUUGUUAGAAAUCCCACAGGCCCAUGCUUCGAUACUCCCAGGUCAUGGGUGGCGACCUCCUGAUCCUGGUGUGGUUAAAAUUAAUACUGAUGCGGCACUGAAUAUGGACUCAGAUAAAGUGGGUGCAGGGGGUUGCCCGUUCAAGCAACGCUUUGCUGGGUGCAUGGAGCAAACCACAUGUUGGAGUGACGGAUCCAUUUAUUGGUGAGACCUUGGCACUCCGUGAUGGUGUUAUAUUUGCAAAUCUGCGCGGUUUCACACAUGUGAUUAUGGAGACGGACUGCCUGGAGAUUGUUAAUCUUUGGAAAAAUCGCCACAAUAGUUUUUCUGUGAUGGCACCUUUACCUCUAGAAGUUGGAGAGCUUGCUUUAUCUUUUGAUUUAUUUGAUGUUCAAUAUGUAUCCAGAGCGGCUAACGUACCGGCCCAUCUUUGUGCAAAACAUGCUUGCACGCUGAUGGUCACCGAGAAUUGGACCGACUCGAGACCUUCCUUCUUGCUCACCAGUUUAUUGGCUGAUGAUCUAAGAAGUUCUUUCGUUGAAUAAAAGCUCCCAGGUUUGAACAGACACACAAAAAAGAGCCCUGCAUUACCAAACGUGCCGAAUGGCCGUCCAGAUUAAAGUACAGCCCCAACAAUCCAUGCACCGGCGCCGGAGUAACGGAGAGGCGUCGCCCGGAUCCACACGCCGCCUCGCCGAAACGCGGCGAGCCUUAUUACCCCACGACCGAGGCGACCCCAGCCCACCCGCCCUGGCUGCACAUACAUCACGCACGAGACGAGAGCGACGAGGGAGGAAGCCUCCAAAGCCCGACCCAAGCCCACGGCCUCCCGGUCGCGGCCACCACCACCACAGAAACCCCGCGCUCCCUCCCGUCCCGUGAUCCUCAUCCCCCGCGGCUAGCCUCCCUCCCCUCUCCUAGAUAACACUCCCACCAUGCACCGGGGGGCGAGGCGACGAGGAAGACAGAGUUAGGCGGAGGUUCGGCAGCACGGAGGAGCAGUGAUGUCGGACGAGGGGGAGGACGCGCCCGUGGCGGCCGUGGCGGCGGGCUUCGGGCUGCCGGAGGAGCUGGCGGCCGUGCUGCCGGCGGACCCGUUCGAGCAGCUGGACGUGGCGCGCAAGAUCACCUCCAUCGCGCUCGCGUCCCGCGUCGGCCGCCUCGAGGCGGAGGCCGCGGGGCUCCGCGCGCAGCUCGCCCGGCGCGACGACGCCGCCGAGGACCUCCGCGAGCGCGUCGAGCAGCUCGAAUCCGCGCUCGCGCUCGCCACCGACCGCCUCAGCCGCGCCGAGGACGACAAGGUAAUCACAGUUUGUCCGCGGCGGUGGCUUGCUGAGCUCGGCUUUCGCUGACAAGCCUCAAGUGGUCCAGGCCAUCCAGGCUCACUUCUCAGCCGGUGACUUCUUGGCUGUUUGAUCAGUGCUCCAGUGCGAAUUGACAAAAUGAUGUUUCUCUGUCUUUUGGUUGCAGGAGACGCUGCUGAAAGAGAAGGCGACGCUGUCAAACACCGUCAACAAGCUCAACAGAGAUGUCGCCAAGGUAACAGGACCAGGACAUACUGUUGCACUGCAUUUUUGAAUCAAAAUUCGAGAAAUGCCUGUCUGCUAUAUGCCUAUAUAUCAAUGACACAGUCUUAAAUUUAUCAGUAUAUCAAUUAUACGUAGUAUUUUCUACUUGUUAAGGUCACCUAUGCCGACUGGUGUAGUCGUUACUCAUGGCCUGGAUUGCAAAUUAUAUAUUUUUCCCGACAAAGGGUGGAUAGCAAAUUAUAUGCAAGUAAAUCAACUUGUUAGUAUGAAAAUGCCACAAGUUCUCUCCUGCUGUAGCCUGUACAGAGGUUUCCUCUUUACGAUUUCAGAGUCUAAAGAUUGCGUGCUUUGCUUUCUGUUUGUUCCUCCUGCUUGGUUACGCAGUUGGAAGUUUUCAAGAAGACGCUUAUGCAGUCACUUCAGGAAGAUGAUGACAAACCAGUAAGUUGCCUGCAUUUAUAUGUUAUAAUGGUUUAGUUCCUGCAGUAGCCCAGCAAUGACUCUGGAAUUCUUCUCCUGAUUUUUCUUAGAAUUCAUCUGCAUAGCAAGUAAUUUUUCUGUUAUAAUACUUUCCUGUAGAACAUUCCCAAGGCUAAGCUCACCGAAACAUCGAAUUUCUCCCCCGCGCCAUCUGUCGGAGGUACUGCAGAAUUUUCAUGGUUCUUGUCCUAGUUGUACUGCACGAGAUCAUAUUUAGACCACAAGAAUUAACUUGACUUGUGGAUUUUAUCAGAUGACGAUUCAGCAUUUACAACUUCUAAAUCAUCACAGUUGUUUGAAACUGCAAGUUCUGCUUCAGAGGAAAGUAGCCAUGCUGAGCCAGAUGGUACACGCACUAGCCACUUCUCAGUUGGUUCACACUAUUGAAUGUGAACUUUUUCUCACUAAUAUUCAACAGAUAACACCCUUUUACACUCACAGAACCUAGGCCACCCCGCUCGCAUGUAUAUAUGCCAUCGUACAACAGUACACCAAAGCUUACUCCUCCAGGCUCACCUCCAAGGGGUUAUGCACCACUUUCACCACCAAGGAGACAUUCAAUCUCGAUUGCGUCAAUGAACAGGCUCGAUGACAGGUCUUCGGUCUUUUCCAGUAGCCAUAGCGCAAUGACAUCUCCAUUUGACACACCAAGUCCAACAGGUUAGCUUUGAUAGCUUGGGUAGUUAGAUUAUGUUAUCUGUAAAAUACUUGCUUCCUUCAUGUGAAAAAAUAUGAACACCUGGGUCUGUAUAAUCUCUAGAAGUUUAUAAUAAAUGAAUACAGCUGUGAUUCUUAAGGACAUAAUGCUGGUUCAUAAAUUAUCAGUUAUUUAUUCUGCUUAAUUAUUUGUGCAUUUGUUUCAGGACGAACACGAGUUGAUGGGAAAGAGUUCUUUCGCCAAGUCAGGUAUAUAUAUGUGUGUAAAUGAGCUCAACUCUGGAACACACAUUAUUUCAAUCUGUUAUUAGGCAGGAAGUGGAUAUACCAUUUGUUAUGUUUACCUUCCUUUUCUAAUAUACUUGUAAAUCAUUGUUGGGUCUCCGCUUUUAUGUACAAGCUUUUGAAUGCUUUUCCUUUCGGAGUACGUAAAAUGUUUAUGGCUAUUCACUACUAGUAUGGGUGAAUACCUCUACUGCCCUCUUGACCUCUACUUAACAACCAUGCAGAAACCGCUUGUCUUAUGAGCAGUUCAGCGCAUUCCUAGCCAAUGUGAAGGAACUGAAUGCACACAAGCAGACCAGAGAGGUAUACUGUUUCUCUGCUAUGUAUCAAGUAUUAUCAUGUCCUUGAUAUAUUUUUCUGGUGCUCACUAAAGCUUUUGUGACUUCUGCAGGAUACACUAAGAAAAGCUGAUGCGAUAUUUGGACCUGAAAACAGUGACUUGUACACCAUCUUUGAGAGUCUAAUUACUCGCACUCAUCAUUAGAGUUCUACAAUCUGAAUCUUUUACCAUGGUUAACUGUGAGCCAGGUUUUACUGGCAUUUGUGAUUAAUAUAUUUGUUAUUUAUUGUAUUUAAUAUCUGUAGAAGUCACCUGCUAUCAUUGCAGAUUUCGGAUAUAUAGUUUUUAAAAAGUCUUGUUGCAGUCAAUGUAAAGUCAUGGAUUGUCUGUAAGCUAGAACCUUUACAUAUUAAUACAAAUGCAGAAGUUUGCAAUUUAGAGGCAAUGCUUCUUCCCCUCUUAAAUUUAUGAUGAUAUUGCUUUCUCUCUAGUGCCAGAAUCAAUGGAGCCCACCUAUUUUUUAUUUUAUUUUGCUAAGACGAUUAAAUAUUCUGUGCUCCAGGUGGAGCUUUUGGCAGUAAUCUUUAUUCCCUUGUAGCAGUACUACUAUAAGAAUUUGGUAUGUUUAGGCCCUGAAUUAUCUGGCAGCCUGCUCCAAAUUGCCUUUUGUUCUUCGAAGUUCGCAAUAAUGGCGGAUUGCUUCUUGUUCGCUAAAGAAUUUGCCAAUCGAUUGUAAUAUAUAUCACCAUUGAAAUCACUUAACACAUGCACCAGAUUUGAACUCUGAUUGCUGAUCACAAUCUGCCCAUCUGUGCUUUUCGUUGUGUUGGCAACGACGCUUAUUCGCUUGGGCAUUACUGUCGAUUUCAGGUCAGAUCCUUGAACCAUGUAAACCGCACCAAGAACUUCUCCCAAAAAUAUAUCCUGAAAACAUGAACAUUUGUAGAUAAUUAUUAAAUAUGAAAUGAAACUAAUUUUGAAAAGUUACACGGAGCAUCAAGUAUGUGCGCAGGGAAACAAGGUGAUUUGCAGUCAGUUACCACAUGAUGAUAGAGCUUCUCUUUGAUCCGAAGUUCCUUCAAUAAUGCAAAUAACUCUCGGACAAACUUUGACUCGGGAGUUUGCUGGGUUUGCUCCAAGGCUUCCAGGACAGACUCAAAUGAAGCAGCUUUUCGUUGCGCUGCAAGGGGAAUGAGUGUGAUAUUCAGAUUGGAUUCCAGGACUGUUUUUGCAGCCAGAGGAUCAAGAAACAUGUUCAACUCUGCGUAUCUGUUCGAUGGAACAGUGAACACAUUCCCCUUCUCAUGACCUCCAUCUCUGAUGAGCCCUCCAACAACAUAAACUCUCUGCACAUGGAGAAAAUGUGUUGAGCAAGGUCAGUGUUCACAGAUAUUGGGUCAAAACUAUAGAGGUCUGGAGAUAGGGAGCAUACUGACCUCUAUCACAGAGCUUGCAUCCCUGUCAGAGAGUGAAAUGUUGGCCAAAUUGGUGAGAGGUCCACUGGUAAGAAGAGUUAUCUUGUCACCUGGACAAAGUUGCCUCCUGACAGACUGCCACACUUCAAAAGCCAGUGGCUGCCGAUGCUCCGGAUCAUCUGAGCUUUCAGGAGUGUACCUGUGUCAAUAUUCCGUGCCAUCGUCACAUUUUUGUUCAAAUGAAGUGAAUGCGGAAUUUUUUCUUUACCUUCUAGGGCUUAUUGGCAAUAACCGAGCCAGUCCAUACAAUGUAUCUGAGUCGAUAAAUCCACCACUGCCCACGGGAAUAGCAUAGGCAUUGUCGCAACCAAGGGUUGGGUUGCCCAAUGCAGUGGUAUUGCCAAGGCCAACUGGAAUGUCAUCGCGGCCCAUCAUAUGUAGAAUGUCAUAAACGAUAUCGAUGGUUGCGAUGUUCGCCCAGCCGUUGCCGUUGACCAAAACCCCCUAGAAUAUGUUAGUAAAGUAGUCUUUAUUAGAAAUUUUUGCUGUUGCAUAAUGUCCCUUCAACAGAUUUCCAAUUAAGGUAAUAUUUUGCCUCACCUUUACAUCUAUAGCUUCUCUUGGUGUCUUCAAUAGAUAUAUAAGGGAAAUAAAAUCUCCAGGGCUCAUGUCCAUGUCAAAAAUAACUGGCUUUCCCCUGCUCACGUUCAUGAAAUCUGGCUUAUAAAGGACUUCUCUGUAAAAUGGGAACUGUUUACUGAUGUUAAAGCGACCUGAUUGCCUAGGGAGAUUUAGGACCUGGUGAAGGAAAGAGUUCAGUUAAAAUUUAUGCAUAUGAUUUCUCAUACACGAUACGUGUUCAAACUGUUUAAUUAAAUUUGAAUGCUGCAAUCUUUUAGAUACUACUCCAAAUGCAUGCCAACUGUCAAUCAUGCAUAUAUACUGCUCACCUCUAGGAAGCUCUUGAAAAAUUCCCUAUCAAGCGUGCUAUUGUUAUCCGUGUUUGGCUUUGCGCUCGUGGCAACUCAACCCAAACUCCUUCUGAACCAGCCACUUCCUUGGUGUACCCAUCCUAUACAUAAGGAGAAAUGCAAGUUAAUGUCCGCCUUUUUGUUUUGCCUUUGGGACCUUUUUUAUGCUUGUAAAAUUUGCAAUAACUGACUGCAGGUUGUGUGCAUCCAUCGAUGCAGAGGCCGGGGGUUCCACCCUUUUUUCAAAAGGAAAUACAAGUUAAUGAUAACUAUUCCUUCUGUUCCGAAUUACUUGUCAUUGGUAUGGAUGCAUCUAGAUGUAUUUUAGUUCUAGAUACAUCUAUUUCUGCGACGAGUAAUUUGGAACGGAGGGAGUACCUGGCAUCUUCCUGUGUUGCUUCCCUCCACCAGGCAGAAGCUAUCUCUGAUCCCAGUCUGGACAUGGCCACUGUGAACUCCACCCUCCUUCAGACCAAACUUAGGUGUCGCACGGCCGUCGAAAAACGGGUUCGAGCCGUCGCGCGCACCGUACGGCUUGUUGGAAGUGAUCACCGUGAUGUUCAUGUACUCUAGCUCAGCAAAGUCGUUUCCGCCAUUGACCUCGCCAUUGCCCAUGCUAGAGAUCGCCACACCGACUGAGGGAGUCCUGGAUUAGGGGGUGUUCGGGUAGCCGGACUAUACCUUCAGCCGAACUCCAGGACUAUGAAGAUACAAGAUUGAAGACUUCGUCCCGUGUCCGGAUAGGACUUUCCUUGGCGUGGAAGACAAGCUUGGCGAUGCGGAUAUUCAAGAUCUCCUACCAUUGUAACCGACUUUGUGUAACCCUAACCCUCUCCGAUGUCUAUAUAAACUGGAGGGUUUUAGUCCAUAGGACAACUUCAUCAUACAACAAUCAUGCCAUAGGCUAUCUUCUAGGGUUUAGCCUCCUUGAUCUCGUGGUAGAUCUACUCUUGUACUACCCAUAUCAUCAAUAUUAAUCAAGCAGGACGUAGGGUUUUACCUCCAUCAAGAGGGCCUGAACCUGGGUAAAACAUCGUGUUCCUUGCCUCCUGUUACCAUCCGGCCUAGACGCACAGUUCGGGACCCCCUACCCGAGAUCCGCCGGUUUUGACACCGACAUUGGUGCUUUCAUUGAGAGUUCCUCUGUGUCGUCGCUUUUAGGCCCGAUGGCUCCUUCGAUCAUCAACAACGAUGCAGUCCAGGGUGAGACUUUUCUCCCCGGACAGAUCUUCGUCUUCGGCGGCUUCGCACUGCGGGCCAAUUCGCUUGGCCACCUUGAGCAGAUCGAAAGCUACGCCUCUGGCCAUCAGGUCAGGUUUGGAAGCCUAAACUAUACGGCUGACAUCCGCGGGGACUUGAUCUUCGACGGAUUCGAGCCACAGCCAAGCGCGCCGCACUAUCUCGAUGGGCAUGAUAUAGCUCUGCCGCCGAACAGCGCCUUGGAGGCCGCACACACAUCGGUUCCGACCGUUGAUUCGGAGCCUACUGCGCCGAUCGAGGAUCAGCAGUUGGACGCUGCCUCAGGGGCUGCGAUCUCAGAGGCGAUCGAGCCGAACUCCAGCUCCGCACUCCGCAUGGCCCGUGACUUCGAGGAGCCGGAUUCCUCUCCGAACUCCGAGCCCCCCGCGCCCCUGCCGAUCGAAUCCGAUUGGGCGCCGAUAAUGGGGUUCACCGCCGCGGACAUCUUUCAGCACUCGCCCUUCGACGACAUCCUGAAUUCUCUAAAGUCUCUCUCUUUAUCAGGAGAGCCCUGGCCGGACUACAGUCAGCAAGGUUGGGAUACGGACGAUGAAGAAAUUCAAAACCCACCCACCACCCACUUCGUAGCCACUGUCGACGACUUAACCAACAUGCUUGACUUUGACUCCGAAGACAUCGACGGCAUGGACGACGAUGCAGGAGACGAACAAGAACCAGCACCUAUAGGGCGCUGGAAGGCCACCUCGUCAUAUGACAUAUAUAUGAUGGACACUCCAAAGGAUGGAGAUGGCGAUGGAACAGCGGGGGACGAUACCUCUAAAAAACAGCCCAAGCGCCGGUGUCAGCGGCGCCGCUCUAAAUCCCGCCAAAGCAAAAACAGUGAUUCCGGCACGGGAGAUAAUACUACUCCGAACAGCGCCGAAGAACACCCCCUCCAGCAAGAUUCAACACAGGAGGACAGACAAGCCAGCCCUCACGAGAGGGCGGCGGACCAAGAGGCUGAGGACGAUAAUAAUACGCCUCCCUCCGAAGACGAGGCAAGCCUCGACGACGACGAGUUCGUCGUGCCAGAGGAUCUCGCCGAACAAGAGCGUUUUAAACGCAGGCUUAUGGCCACGGCAAGCAGCCUCAAGAAAAAGCAGCAACAACUUAGAACUGAUCAGGAUUUGCUAGCUGACAGAUGGACUGAAGUCCUUGCGGCCGAAGAGUAUGAACUCGAACGCCCCUCCAAGAGUUACCCAAAGCGCAGGCUGCUACCCCGACUAGAGGAGGAAGCACCUACAUCACCAGCGCAUGACAUGGCCAACCGGCCACCUCGUGGCCGCGACAGAGAGGCCUCUUGGCCCUCCGCUCAAGCCAUGCCCCGACGCCGCGUCAAGCAUACUAAGGCACAGGAAAAUGCGCCCGACCUGCACGACAUACUGGAGGACAAGGCAAGGCAAACAAGAUCGAUCUACGGAUCACGCAGGCGCCCCACGACACGUGACGGUGAUCGUCACUCCGGAUGCAAUAAAUCCGGCCGGGCCGAACUCAACAGACAAAGCUCCUUCGAGCUGCGUCGUGAUAUAGCCCAAUAAAGAGGCGCCGCACACCCACUAUGCUUCACAGAUAAAGUAAUGGAUCAUAAAAUCCCUGAGAGCUUCAAACCCGUAAACAUCGAAUCGUACGAUGGCACAACAGAUCCUGCGGUAUGGAUCGAGGAUUAUCUCCUUCAUAUCCACAUGGCCCGCGGUGAUGAUCUACACGCCAGCAAAGACCUCCCACUCAAACUUAAGGGACCGGCCCAGCAUUGGCUUAACAGCUUGCCAGCAGACUCAAUUGGUUCUUGGGAGGACCUAGAAGCCGCAUUCCUUGACAACUUCCAAGGCACUUAUGUGCGACCACCGGACGCCGAUGACCUAAGCCACAUAAUUCAGCAGCCAGAGGAAUCGGCCAGGCAAUUCUGGACACGGUUCCUAACAAAGAAAAACCAGAUAGUCGACUGUCCGGACGCAGAGGCCUUAGCGGCCUUCAAGCAUAAUAUCCGUGACGAGUGGCUUGCCCGGCACCUGGGACAGGAAAAGCCGAAAUCUAUGGCAGCCCUCACGACACUCAUGACCUGCUUUUGCGCGGGAGAAGACAGCUGGCUAGCUCGCAACAACAAUUUAACCAAGAACCCUGGUAAUUCGAAUACCAAGGACAAAAGCGACAGGUCGCGUCGGAACAAACAAAAGCGCCGCGUUAACAGCGACAGCAACGAGGAUACGUCAGUUAAUGCCAGAUUCCGAGGCUACAAAUCCGGUCAACGGAAAACGCCAUUCAAAAGAAAUACUCAGGGCCCAUCCAGUUUGGACCGAAUACUCGACCGCUUGUGCCAGAUACAUGGCACCCCCGAAAAGCCAGCCAAUCACACCAACAGAGACUGUUGGGUGUUUAAGCAGGCAGGCAAGUUAAGAGCCAAAAACAAAGACAAGGGGCUGCAUAGCGAUGACGAGGAGGAGCCCAGGCCGCCGAACAACAGUGGACAGAAGGGAUUUCCCCCGCAAGUGCGGACGGUGAACAUGAUAUACGCAACCCACAUCCCCAAGAGGGAGCGGAAGCGUGCGUUAUGGGACGUAUAUGCGAUAGAGCCAGACGCCCCAAAGUUCAACCCAUGAUCCUCCUGUCCGAUCACCUUUGAUCGAAGGGACCACCCCACUAGCAUCCGCCACGGCGGCUUUGCCGCAUUGGUUCUAGACCCAAUCAUUGACGGAUUUCAUCUCACAAGAGUCCUCAUGGACGGCGGCAGCAGCCUGAACCUGCUUUACCAGGAUACAGUGCGAAAAAUGGGCAUAGAUCCCUCGAGGAUCAAGCCCACCAAAACGACCUUUAAAGGCGUCAUACCAGGUGUAGAAGCCAACUAUACAGGCUCAGUCACACUGGAAGUGGUCUUCGGAUCUCCGGAUAACUUCCGAAGCGAGGAGUUAAUCUUCGACAUAGUCCCGCUCCGCAGUGGCUAUCACGCACUGCUUGGGCGAACCGCAUUCGCAAAAUUCAACGCGGUACCGCACUAUGCAUACCUCAAGCUCAAGAUGCCAGGCCCUAGAGGAGUAAUCACGGUCAAUGGGAACACUGAACGCUCCCUCCAAAUGGAGGAGCACACGGCAGCGCUCGCAGCAGAAGUACAAGGCAGCCUCUCUAGGAAGUUCUCCAGUUCGGCCUUCAAAAAGCCGGACACUGUCAAGCGCGCCAGGAGUACCCUACAACAAGACCGCCUGGCACCUUCUGAGCUAGCGUAGCAAUGCGGCCCCAACCCUAGCCCUCGCGAUAUAGCGGAACCAGUGCUUCGCGUACAUAACUACGCUCUUAAAAUACCAUGGGCACAGGGGAAGGGGCACUAUCACGGCACGCCCGAAAUAUGGCUUAAACCGCACCAGGGGCUGCCGUAUUCCUUUUUUUCUUUUUUCUCUUACUCUCAGGACUCCAUACUUCGGAUGACCCGUUCGGCAAUUCAACUGCCGCACAAACGAUGCAAGAUCCAGGAAAGCAGACAAGCCAUGCCGCAUUAUGGAACUCCCAGGUGGUCUCUAUUGCGAGCAGUAUACCUAUUUUUUAAUACAAUUCCGCGGCCUGCCCUUGGCCAGGACAUGUUAAAUAGUCCAAUUUCUUUUGCUCAUCGCACUAUUUGUAUCGUUCCGCUUUCAUAGCAGCCUUUCUAUAAACAAUGCAUAGUUUUUUGUCUAUUUUUUGCAUUAUCCUCUUUUUAUAUAUAUGUUUAUCAAUAACAUGCUGCAUCCGUACACUGUGGUAUGACAAAAAUACGCCAGGGGCUUAAGUACCCAUCAAUAUGGCGUGAGAAGUCCGUACACUUUCACAAGUGCGGCACCCCGAACUUAUAGCACUAUAUGCGUCGGCUCCGAAUCAUGAUUUGGGUCAAUAGUUGGGUUUGCCGGCUCCUAUGUUUUGGUGCCUUAUGUUCCGCUAUAUCGGCUAAGGUAGCACUAGGAGAAUGCGAUUGUGCCCCAGUUGAGCUGGGCUGAGCACCUCAGUAGAGAAAGCUAAAACUGACUGUCAUGAUGAGGCGAGAGACCGGUCGCUGUUCGAGAGGUUUUUCGAGUCCUUAAAGACUUAUGCCGCUUCGAGCGAGGAACCGGCUUUGUCCGGCCAAGGCGUGGAUAGCGCCCCGAACUCGGUCUUCCGAAUACUAGGGGCUUCGCCGAAAUUUAAAAUUAUAGAGUUCUAUGGCUAAGUGAGAGUGUUCAAGCAUUAUAGUCCGAUUGCCUUGUUCGUUGUGCUGAGCGCCUCCCUCGACGGACCCAAUCAUGGGAAAAAGAGCGCUCAGGUUUAUCCCGAACACCCCAGCACUAGUGGCAUGGGAGCAGAAGCCGACGACUGGCCAUCUCUCAAUUUUUUGAUAAACGACCGCACAGAAAGUAAUAUUUUAAAUUCAAGCAUUGCUUAGCGCAUAUGAACAAGUUUUCAGCGCACAGGAUAACACGAGCGAGUUCAUUCAAAAAUUACAUCCUUGGUGCAUUCAUCCGCCAUAAGGCGGGAACCGGCCAGAACAUCCUUGUAAUAGUUCUCGGACUUGCGAUGCUCCUUCCCCGGCGGCGGCCCGUCCCUCACAAGCUUCUCACCGUCCAGCUUACCCCAGUGCACCUUUGCACGGGCAAGGGCCCUACGUGCACCUUCGAUGCAGACGGAGUGCUUGAUGAUCUCGAGCCUUGGACAAGGCUCCACCAGCCGCCGCACUAGUCCGAAGUAGCUCCCAGGCAGGGCCUCUCCAGGCCACAGCCGAACUAUGAAGCCCUUCAGGGCCUGUUCGGCCGCCUUGUGGAGCUCGACCAGCUGCUUCAGAUGGUCGCUCAAGGGCACAGGGUGUCCGGCCUCAGCGUACUGAGACCGGAACACCUUCUCCGUCGAGCUGCCUUCCUCGGCUCGGUAGAAUGCGGCGGCAUCGGAUACACUGCGGGGAAGAUCUGCGAAUGCCCCUGGAGAGCUCCGGAUUCGGGUAAGUAACAAGUAGUUUACUUUUAUAUGUCUGCUUUGCAUAGAGAAUGCCUUACCCGCCGCUAUCUUCUUCACCGCAUCCAAUUCCUGGAGGGCCUUCUAGGUUUCGGCCUUGGCAGAUUUGGCAGUUUUAAGGGCCGCAGCAAGCUCGGACGCUCGCGUCUUCGAGUCGAGCUCCAAACUCUCAUGUUUUUUCAUGAGAGCCUGAAGCUCUUGCUGCACCUCACCGACCUGCGCCUCAAAUUUCUCCCGCUUGGCGCGCUCCGUGGCCGCUCUCUUCUUGGCCUCGGACAGCGCCUGCUUGAGGGUCGCCACCUCAGCUGUGGCCCCUACAAUAAACAGUAUACUCCUGUCAUUUUUUGCAAUCGCGUCUUCUUAUAGGCAUUUUUUCUAUAAGGUAUCUCUUACCUUCUUUCUCCUCGAGCUGCCGUUUGGCAAGGCCGAGCUCUUGCUCGGUCCGCUCGAGGCCCUACUUCAGGGCAUCCACCUCCGCAGUCUGUGCGGCGGUGGCCAGCAGCGAAGCCUGCAUACGUAUAUUGACUCUUUUUUAGUUAGACUCCUGCGAUAUUUAAUAGAUCCUCUAUUCGGCUUUUCUUUCCGAAUGCCAAACAAAGCAUCAGGGGCUACUGUCUAUGCGGUAAUAUUUUUACAUAUUUUUACUUACCUCGAAGCCUGUUAGAAGGCUAGCACAAGCUUUAGUCAGUCCGCUUUUGGCGGACUGAACCUUCUGGACCACCGUACUCAUAAUGGUACGGUGCUCCUCGUCGAUGGAGGCGCCCUUAAGCACCUCCAGCAGAUUGUCCGGCGCCUCCAGUUGGGCGGAGGACGCCGGCUCAAUAGGCUUGCUCCUCUUGGCAGGAGUUCGCCUGCCGCGGUCCAGAACCAUUGAUGAUUCCGACGCGGUGUCCGGCUUAAAGCCGGACUUGAAGCCCUAGGGGGUCUUGUCCCCUUUACUCCUGGAGUCCGGGAGGUCGCCUCGCGGCUCCUCCUGGACCACCUCCUCUUGCCCCGGAGCUUGUCGCGACGCCACUUCGGCGUCAUCCACAACGCAGGGGGAGGCAGCGGGCGGAACUGAAUUCACGUCCGAUGAAUCCAGGGAGCCGCUCGACGACUCGUUGAGCCCGUCCUUGGGCGGGCUGCAUGAUUAUAUUCGACAUCAGGGAAAGCUGUGCAACAAAAGGAAUAUCACGAGUUACUCUGGUAUCCGAAAACUUAUGAUUUCGCGGACGCUUGGCCCUAUCCGGCCACUCCUCUUCGUCCUCGUCGGUGUCGGGGGCGUAGUCCGGCGGAGGGGUUUUCCUCUUCUUGGACCCCUCGGCCUCCCCUACUAGGGUGGCCUUCCUCUUCUUUCCUCCCCCCACUGGAGGAGGAGAGGUUUCUUCUUCCUCCUCCUCGUCUUCACGGGAGGAGUGUGUCUCGGACUCGUCGGACGAUGAGUCCGACACCACCAUAUGUCGGGAACUCUUUCGAGUCCCCGUGGCCUUCUUCUUCUUGGCCUUCUUCUCCGGCACCACAUAAGGUGCCGGAACCAGCAGCUUCACUAGGAGACAGUGGCUGGGUAUUCGGGCAAGGGAGCCGGACAGUUAAUCAGUCCGGACUUCGCCUGCCAAUCCUGUCAAAGGUGAGGGAGUUUAGAUCCCGCAUAGAGUCAAACUAUGAAGAAAACUUAACAUCUUGUAAAAGAUGAAAAUAUUUUACCUCGCCAACAGGACGCUGCGAGCUGAAUCCGCGGUCUUCGGAGGUGGAUGUGGGAGCCUCGGCGCCUUGGUUAGCCCCUUCCAGACAUCUUCGUACGUCAUGUCGAAGAGCCUGCUCAGAGUUCGGUGCUGCGCCGGGUUGAACUCCCACAAAUUGAAGUCCCGUUCUUGACACGGAAGGAUCUGGCGGACGAGCAUGACCUGGACUAUGUUGACAAGCUUGAGCUGCUUGUUCACUAGGGACUGGAUGCAUUUUUGCAGUCCGGUCACCUCUUCUUUGUCGCCCCACGACAAGCCCGUCUCCUUCCAGGACGUGAGCCGUGUAGGGGGUCCGGAUCGGAAUUCAGGGGCUGCGAUCCACUUCGGAUCGCAUGACUCGAUGAUGUAAAACCACCUUGACUGCCACCCCUUCAAGGUCUCCACGAAGGAGCCCUCGAGCCAUAGGACGUUGGCUAUUUUGCCCGCCAUGGCACCUCCGCACUCUGCCUGGUUCCUGCGUACCACCUUUGGCUUGACGUUGAAGGUCUUGAGUCAGAGGCCGAAAUGGGGGCGAAUGCAGAGGAAAGCCUCGCACACGACGAUAAACACUGAGAUAUUGAGGAUGAAGUUCAGGGCCAGAUCGUGGAAGUCUAGGCCAUAGUAGAACAUGAGCCCGCGGACAAAUGGGUGGAGAGGAAAACCCAGUCCGCGGAGGAAGUGGGGAAGAAUAUUACCCUCACAUGGGGCCUUGGGGUGGGGAGAAGCUGCCCCUCCUCAGGAAGCCGGUGCGCGAUGUCUUUGGACAGGUAUCCGGCCUUCCUUAGCCUUUUGACAUGGCCCUCCGUGACGGAGGAGACCAUCCACUUGCCUCCCGCUCUGGACAUUGUUGGAGAAGGUUGAGGUAGGAAGUGCGGGCUUGGGCGCUGGAGCUCGGGUGCGCAGAAAAUGGAUAGGCAAAGGAGGAAGAAGGCGUAGGUAAAAAGGUGGAUCCUUAUCCCCUUAUAUGAGCGGAUGCGACUAUGCAUCCCCACCAGCCUAGUAAAACUCGCUUGCCUCCCAAGCGCCGUGAUAAAUGGCGCGGUUGGGUUACCCACGUCCGUAUUGAUGAGAAUCCCAUAAAUGGGGGACACGAUCUCUGCUUUGACAAGACGUGCCAAGGAAACCGCCUCGCAAAACACGCUGAGGUGGAAAAGUGAAAACGAUUCGAAUAAAGGCUUGGCCGUAGUGUGAUGUCACGCUGCGGAAUACAUCAGCAGAUUAGAUUUGUGUUAAUAUUAUUCUCUCUGUGGCAAUAUGUGAAAACUUAUUUUGCAAAGCCGGACACUACUCUUGGUGUUUACAAACUUUUAUGAAGAAUUUGGAGGAGGAACCCGCCUUGCAAUGCCGAAGACAAUCUACGCGCCGGACUCGUUGUCAUUGAAGUAUGGUUCAGGGGCUACUGAGGGAGUCCUGGAUUAGGGGGUGUUCGGGUAGCUGGACUAUACCUUCAGCCGAACUCCAGGACUAUGAAGAUACAAGAUUAAAGACUUCGUCCCGUGUCCAGAUGGGACUUUCCUUGGCGUGGAAGGCAAGCUUGGCGAUGCGGAUAUUCAAGAUCUCCUACCAUUGUAACCGACUUUGUGUAACCCUAACCCUCUCCGGUGUCUAUAUAAACCGGAGGGUUUUAGUCCGUAGGACAACUUCAUCAUACAACAAUCAUACCAUAGGCUAGCUUCUAGGGUUUAGCCUCCUUGAUCUCGUGAUAGAUCUACUCUUAUAUUACCCAUAUCAUCAAUAUUAAUCAAGCAGGACGUAAGGUUUUACCUUCAUCAAGAGGGCUCGAACCUGAGUAAAACAUCGUGUUCCUUGCCUCCGGUUACCAUCCGGCCUAGACGCACAGUUUGGUACCUCCUACCCGAGAUCUGCCGGUUUUGACACCGACACCGACGGUAAAAGAAUCCCACGGGUAAAACCCUUGCAGUAAUUGAUGAAUUGAGAUAUUUGUGUAGCUAGGAUGGACAAAAUGGAAGAGUUUGAAUUGAAUUGAGAGCUUGCCGUGCUGCCAUGGAGGCCGGGCGCGGGCCUUCUGAGUCUCCUCAGGACCUGGUCCAGCGACUGGAAGCAGUAGCGCGCCUCGGGCGUGCUCUGCCAUUGCCGGCCGAACUCUGCGAAGAACUCCUCAGUGACCGGGAUUCUGUUGGUGGCGUCGAGUGGGACGAGCGUGACGGGGACGCCGGAGUGGAGCACCACGUAGGCGGCGAAGGGGUCGCAGAACAUGUUGAACUCCGCGAAUGGGUUGGUGUCGUCGGCGGUGAAGAGGUUCCCCGGCACCCGCACGCCGCCGCCGGAGACGUAGACGCGCUCGACGUUGCGCCUCAGGUGCGGGUGCGCCCAGUACAGCUCUGAAGAUGGUUUGGUGGCAGGUGGCUGCGGCGGCCUCAUACCCGGCAGGCGUCCUGGUUGGGGAGUGUGCCGGACUGGUAGGUACCCCAUACCCGGCAGGCGUCCUGGUUAGGACCUCAGGUCUUAGAUGUUUAGGUUUGGCUGCGAUAUCUGUUUGGUAUUAGGCCCAGACUAUCAGCGCCCCUUCAUCGAUUGGAUAGGUGUAGCGACAGUUGUUGCUGAGAAAGUGGCUUUAGUCUUGCUGUUGUAUAUCUUUGUAAGGUCUUGUGAGAAUAAUUAAUAAAGUGGCCGUAUGCAUCGCCCAGAUGCAGAGGCCGGGGGUCAUCCUCCUUUUCUAAAAAAAAGGUGCGGGUGCGCCGUGAGGAGGAGCGCGGCGUUGGUCAGGGCCCGUAAGAGGAGCAGCGUGGUGGGGCCGGCCGACACCGUGUCCACCAUCACCUGCUGCGCCGUGGGCUGCCGGAGCGGCUCGUACUGCCGGGGUCCCCGCGGGAGGAAGCCCCUCCGGACGCCGGAGUUGGUGUCGGUGUCCAGGCGCCCGUCGUGGCUUCCCGGGGGGAUGGCCUGCCGGUACCGGCAGCCGCCCGCCGUGGACGGUGGACAUGCCCUGCCGUACAUACGUAUUUUUACAUGUCGGUAAAUGGUAAUGAGUAGCAUGCCGGCGGCCGAGUCAUCGAUCAAUGCAUUUCUCAUGUUGUUAGUAGUACCUGGUCUAUGAGAGGGAGGUAGCCGCCGACGUCGGGGUGUAUCUCGCCGGCGUCCGAUAUGCCUCCGUCGCCGCCCACGCCGACGGCGAUGUCGUCGCGGCCCAUCAUGUAGAGGAUGUCGUAGAGCUGGUUGAUCCCGUGGCCGGCGUCGAUCCAUGCGUUGGCGUUGAUGGUAAUGGCCUACGACAGACAGUGUAGGUUCACAUCACAACUUACCGACGGGGUCAGCAGAACAUUCCAUUUCCAGCAUGCAUGUGAGCGCGGCGACGACGAGUGGCAUGGCACCAAAUUACCUUGACGUCGAACUUGGACCGGUCCUGCUUGAGGACGUAGAGCAGCGCGAAGAGGUCCUCGGUGUCCAUGUCCGUGUCCACCAGGAUCCUCCUCGGCACCGGCGCCCCCGCCGCGGCAACGGCGACUACGGCAAAGAGUGACACCAGGGCCACGGCCGCCGUCCAUGACCGUGAACUCUUCCUCCUCGCCUGCUCCAUGGGAAGGAGGCGGUGCUUCGAACUUGCCAGUUGAUGCCUGACUCGAGCUCGAGCUAUGCCUUUCGGUGUGUGCGCCUCUUAUGGGAGAUGGCUCAGCCCCUCCUCCCCUUAGGCAUUAAUGGAAUAAUGGUAGCUUGUCGAUCGGCUACAGUUGUGUACAUGCGGGUGCGCGAUUGAUUGUUACACAAAUGCAAAGGCAGGCACGUUUCUUGGGCUACGAUCGAUCGGUUUCUGAUGGUACGCAUGGCACGAGGAGCACAGUUUCAUCACGACAGGGAAGGAUUCGUGUCCGUCUAUCGUAUGGCCAUGCGGGACUUGNNNNNNNNNNNNNNNNNNNNNNNNNNNNNNNNNNNNNNNNNNNNNNNNNNNNNNNNNNNNNNNNNNNNNNNNNNNNNNNNNNNNNNNNNNNNNNNNNNNNNNNNNNNNNNNNNNNNNNNNNNNNNNNNNNNNNNNNNNNNNNNNNNNNNNNNNNNNNNNNNNNNNNNNNNNNNNNNNNNNNNNNNNNNNNNNNNNNNNNNNNNNNNNNNNNNNNNNNNNNNNNNNNNNNNNNNNNNNNNNNNNNNNNNNNNNNNNNNNNNNNNNNNNNNNNNNNNNNNNNNNAUUUACGAAUCAGCGUUGAACACACCCUUACAAACAUGCAAAAACCGCCUGCCUUAUGAGCAGUUGAACAAUUCAGCACAUUCCUAGCUGAUGUAAGGAAUUGAAUGCACACAAGUACACAUACAUGGUUAUAAUUGUGUGGUUAGGUAUAUUAGGACGGUACAUAUGUGUGGUUGUGCGAUGAUGGGUCGACAGAUGGUGGCAGCACAAAGCGAUGUCUGGUGGUGCUUUUUGAGUGCAUAUGCACGAGUUUCAGAGAUGAAAACUCUAGGUACAACCUUCAUUAGUUGAACCUGGCUCGUGCGCCAUUCACUUCUUGGAUCCGUUGUUACUGAAGCACCUCUAUGGAGCACUUCUUGAAGGCGUUGUUACUGAAGCACCUCUUGUUGUCUGGGGUUGCCAUCAUUAAUGGUGGUGGUGGUUGUUGUUUGUUGUAACUGUUAUGUCAGGUCGCUUUUUUAUAUUUGUCAUAAUUUGUUAUGUGCAUCUUUGAUGUCUUGAGUAAAUCUUAAGUCGUGUUGAUGCAGAGGCUAGAUAUAAUUGAUACUAAUAUCUUCCCUUUACCAAAAGAAAACACACACAUCACGCAUAAAAAACAGACCCCGCGUCGUCCUUGUGGGCGACUCGAGUGGCGGCUUGAUCCCUUUUUUCUGGAAACCCUCUCGUGAGACCUCCCCUCGCCAUCGCGGGCUAGCGCCGUCGGGCUUGUCCUCGAGGCUGAUGAUGGUGGCGGCUUCCACUCCCGUGGCUCUUUGGGCGACAUUUGAUGAGGUGUGAAGGCUGAUGCUGCAGUAGCGGCACUGGUGCUCCACGUAUCCCGCGGAAGCAUGGUUGGGGACGACCAGAUCGGCACGAUGGUGCCUACCGCCGCCGCUCAUGGAUGCCAUAGAGAGGGAGCGUUCAUCAUUGGAAGUGGCCGCUUGUGGCGCAGUCAUCUUCCUUGAUAGGAGGAUGGGAGCAUGGAAUACAUAUGAUUGAGUGGGUGUUCCCGGGUCGUGCUUCUGACUCGCUCUUCAAAUUUCUUGCCUUCUUGCAGUACUGGCAUCCGCUCGCUAGGCCGAGGGAUCGUGAUCGUCUUUAGCUCUUGCUGGACGCCCUGGUGUCUACCGCGCGUCGGCUCUCCGCCCGCCUGCCCGCCUGCUUCGUAGCUUGCCCCUGGUGGCCUUUGUCGUUUCUGUUUCUUUCAUUUGGGCGUCUUUGUGUUGUGGCCCCAGCUUUUCUCUUUUAUGACUUUGUUUGAGACGUGGUUGUACGGACGUAUGCUUUAUCUAUAAAGCAGGGCGAAAGCCUGUUUCGAGAAUACAUAUGAUUCUCCUCAUCCAUGGUUGUGUCUUGCCUCUUCCUCCAUCCCGCGCAGCCCGGGCGGUGCAUACAACCUGGGAGGUGUUGACCACCCAUGCUAGGGACGCUACUCCUCGGGUGACUCUUUGGUGUUGAUGCGUGGCAAGUUGAGGUGGUGGACAAGUGCGGUUGUCGCCGCUGUCGCUCGCCUCCCCAGCAGGGAGGCGAUGGUCAUGGUGGUCCUCCACUCGGGCUUGGGCGCAAGGUCCGACGAUGCCGUGAAUAUGGCCUGCAUGCUACUGGGCAGUUGUCGGUUGGACGAUGGUCAUCUGAGGGACUUCGACAUGUAUGAUCUGCGUCCAUAGGCGAGGACGGCGGAGCUAGUGGCAGUGCAUGCAACUAUCAACUAUAUCAUAUAAUACAGAUUAGUCAUUUGUUGCCACUUGUGAGGAUGGUGCGGGGCUUCCGGAGUGUCCCCUACUCGGGAUUUUGUGGGUGCCACCGUCCUUCCUCCUCGUGAAAGACUUCGUCAAGGUGGUGAUGAGAGGCUCUUAUCGCAUCUCGUCAACCUACUACUCAUGGGGGCUUGGCCAUCACUCGUCAUAAGGACCGUACACAUAUGCAUCUAUUGGGAUUGAGGAAAGUGAUGAAGACAAUAUAGGAUGACUUCAAUUGGUCAGAGUCUUGAGCUCCAAGGUGAAACCCUAUGUCUAACUCUAGGUGGGCAUACCUGGCAAUGGCGGAGUUCUUUGCGUCGUUACGCUGAUGAAAACCCACGAUCUGAUCUCGGUUGUUGGAUUCGGCGAUGGCGACACUUGAACAUCGUUCCCUUCUUGGAGGCGUUGCAUUGGAGAGCCUUUCUUGGAGUCCUUGUGCUGUCAAGGGACGGUUGGUGUCGGUCACUGUUGUAUAUUGUCAGUCGUUGUUUCCAUUGCUUUGGUUUUUUCUCUCCAUCCGCCUAGACAUAGGUUCGGCCUUGUAUGACUUUGCUCUUUGCCGGUGUGAUCGUUUAGGUGCGUGUUUCGUGUUGGUUUUGUGCAUCCUAUUUAUGCAGAGGCUAGGUGUGUACUCGUUAUUAUUGUAUCCCUCCAUGCUAGACUAUGAGUCAAUAAAAAACACACAAUUUAUCAAUAAAAUGUUGUGCAUAUGAAUUGAAUUUACUGUUUGUCCUGUAUUAACAUGUCCUCGGGGUGUUCUUGUGCUCGCUAAAUGUUCUGCUAUGUAUCAUGUAUUAAAAAUGAGUUGUACCCCAUCUUUGAGAGUCCAAUUACGUGCAGUCAUCAUUAGAGUCCUAAAGUCUGAAUCUUUUCCCGGUGACUAACUGUGAGCAAGCUUUCACCGGCAUUUGUGAUUAAUAUAUUUGGUAUUUAUUGUAUUUACAAUAUAUAGAUUUUAAAAUUUCUUGUUGCUCUCAAUGUAAAGUCAUGGAUUUUCUGUAAGCUACAACCUUUACAUAUUAAUAGAAAUGUAAUGAUGUUGCAUAGAAUCGCAGGCAACUGACAACUUGAAUUUUAAAGCAAAACAAACAAUAUCUCUCAAGUGCCAAAAUCAAUCGAACCCAUCUUGAGAAGGUGAAUCCAACGCAUCAGUGCUCCUUCAUAAAAGUGUAACUCUAUUAAAUCUUCCUUUUACUUUGACGCUAAGAUGACUAAAUAUUCUAUUCUCCAUGUGGACUUUUUGGUAUCUAAUUUUUAAUUCUUCUUAAGCUGUACCACUAUAAGAAUCUGUUGUGUCCAGGCCCUGAAUUAUUUGGUGGCCUGCUCCAAAUUGCCUUUUGUUCUUCAAAGCUCGCAACGAUGGCAGACUGUUUCUUGUUCGUUAAAGAAUUUGCCAAUCGAUUGUAAUAUAUUUCAACAUUGAAAUCACUUAACACAUGCACCAGCUUUGUACUCUGCUUGCUGAUCACAAUCUGCCCAUCCGUGCUUUUCAUUGUAUCGGCAAGGACGCUUAUUCGCUUCACCUUUAAAGUUGAUUUCAGGUCAGAUCCUUGAACCAUGUAAACCGCACCAAGAACUUCUCCCAAAAAUAUAUCCUGAAAACACGAAAAGUUGCAGAUAAUUCUUAAAUUUGAAAUAAAAUUAUAUCUGCAAAGAAAAUAAUUUUAAAUUUUACAGCGAGUAUCAACUAUCAAGUAUGUGCGCAAAAAACAGGGUGAUUUGCUGUCUGUUACCACAUGGUGAUACAGCUUCUUUUUGCUCCGAAGAUCCUUCAAUAGUGACAACAACUCUUGGACAAAAUUUGAUUCAGGAGUUUGCCGGGUUUGCUCGAAGGCAUCCAGGACAGCCCUGAAUGAAGCAGCUUUUCGUUGCAUUGUAAGGGGAAUGAGUGUGAUAUUCAGAUUGGAUUCCAGGACUGUUUUUGCAGCCAGUGGAUCAAGAAACAUGUUUAACUCUGCGUAUCUGUUCGAUGGAACAGUGAACACAUUCCCCUUCUCAUGACCUCCAUCUCUGAUGAGCCCUCCAACAACAUAAAUUCUCUGCACAUGGAGAAAAUGUGUUGAGCAAGAUCUUUUCACAGAUAUUGGGUCAAAACUAUAGAGGUCUGGAGAUAGGGAGCAUACUGACCUCUAUCACAGAGCUUGCAUCCCUGUCAGAGAGUGAAAUGUUUGCCAAAUUGGUGAGAGGUCCACUGGUAAGAAGAGUGAUCUUGUCCCCUGGACCAAGUUGCCUCCUGACAGACUGCCACACUUCAAAAGCCAGUGGCUGCCGAUGUUCUGGAUCAUCUGUACUUUCAGGAGUGUAUCUGAUCAUGCGAUCGAUAACCGUGUAAAUAUUUUGCGCCAUUUUCAGUUAUCACACUUCUAUUCAAAUGAAGCAAAUGCAGAACUUUUUCCUUACCUUCUAGGACUUCUUGGCAAUAACCGAGCCAGUCCAUACAAUGUAUCGGAGUCGAUAAAUCCACCACUGCCCAACGGAAUAGCAUACACAUUGUUGCAACCAAGGGUUGGAUUCCCCAUUGCAGUGGUAUUGCCAAGGCCAACUGGAAUGUCGUCGCGGCCCAUCAUAUGUAGAAUGUCAUAAAUGAUAUCGAUGCUUGCGAUAUUCGCCCAUCCAUUGCCAUUGACCAAAACUCCCUAUAAUUAGUCAGUAAAGUAGCUUUCAUCAGUAACUUGGCUGUUUAACAGUACAGCAUAAAGUUCAUUUAACAGAUUUUCAGUCAAAGUAUACUUUCCCUCACCUUUAGAUCUAUAACUUCUCUUGGUGCCUUCAAGAGAUAUAUAAGAGAAACAAAAUCUCCAGGGCUCAUGUCCAUGUCAAAAAUAACUGGCUUUCCCCUGCUCACGUUUAUGAAAUCUGGCUUAUAAAGAACUUCCCUGUAAUAUGGGAAUUGCGUACUGAUGUUAAAUCGACCAGCUUGUUUAGCGAGAUUUAGGACCUGAUGAAGGAAAGAGUUCAGUUAGGGGACAUCAAUUUAGGACCUGAAGAAAAGAGUUCAGUUAGGGGACAGCUAUUUGGACCUGACCAAAAGAGUUCAGUUAGGUGGCAGCAAUUUAAGAAAUUUAUGAUUCCUCGUAGACAGAGUGAAAUUUAGUUACACAAUCUGGAUGCAUAUUCUUCUGAAGUGUCUAUGCAUGUUCAAACUGUUCAAUUUAAUUUAAAUGCUGCGCUCUUUUAGAUACUAAAUUAGCACGCAAACUCCACUCCAAUUGCUAAUCAUGCAUAUAUACUGCUUAGUGCUUUACCUCUAGGAAGUUCUUGGAAAAUUCCCUAUCAAACGCGCUAUUGUAAACCGGGUUUGGCUUCGCGCUCGUGGCAACACGAACGCGGACUCCUUCUGAACCAGUCACUUCCUUGGUGUAUCCAUCCUAUAAGGAGAAAUGCAAGUCACUGUGAAUUUAUACUACUCUUACAUGGGAUUUUGUUUUUUGGCAUUGGUGACACAUAGAGAUAUCUUACCUGGCAUCUACCUGCGUUGCUUCCCGGCACCAAGCAGAAACUAUCUCCGAUCCCAGUCUGGACAUGGCCACUGUGAACACCACCCACCUUCAGACCAAACUUGGGCGUCGCGCGGCCAUCGAAAAACGGGUUCGAGCCGUCGCGCACGCCGUACGGUUUGUUGGAAGUGAUCACCGUGAUGUUCAUGUACUCUAGCUCAGCAAAGUCAUUUGCGCCAUUGGCGUCGCCAUUGCGCAUGCUAGAGAAAGCCACACCGGCGGCAAAGGAAUCCCACAUGUAAUAGCCCUGCAGUUACAAGAAAAGAAAAACAUUAUCAUAAUUGAUGAAUUGAAAUCUUUAAUGACAAGGAUGUAAAAAAUGGAAAAGAUUUUGAAUUGGAUGGAGAGCUUGCCGUGCUGCCAUGGAGGCCGGGAGCCGGCCUUCUGUGUCUCCUCAGGACUAGGUCGAGCGACUGGAAGCAGUAGCGCGCCUCGGGCGUGGUCUGCCACCGCCGGCCGAACUCGGCGAAGUACUCCUCGGUGACCGGGAUGGUGUUGGUGGCGUCGAGAGGGACGAGCGUGACGGGGACGCCGGAGUGGAGCACCUGGUAGGCGGCGAAGGGGUCGCCGAACACGUUGAACUCCGCGAACGGGUUGGCGCCGUAGGCGGUGAAGAGGUUCCCCGCCACCCUUACGCCGCCGCCGAGGACGUAGACGCGCUCCACGUUGCGCCUCAGGUGCGGGUGCGCCAUGAGGAGGAGCGCGGCGUUGGUGUGGGUCCCAAAGAGGAGCAGCGUGGUAGGGCCCGCCGACACCGUGUCCACCAUCACUUGCUGCGCCGUGGGCUGCCGGAGCGGCGCGUACCCCCGGUGGCCCUGCGGGAGGAAGCCCCUACGGAGGCCGCCGUUGGUGUCGGUGUCGAGGCGCCCGCCACGGCGUCCCGGCGGGACGGCUUGCCGGUAUCGGCAGCCGCCCACCGUCGACAUGCCCUGCCGUACGUAAUCUUUUUAGCAAGCUUGUAAAUUAAUAAUGGUAAUUCGUGGCUUCGGCGCUUCGCCGGCCGCCGAUUCAUCGAUCAGUACGUACCUGGUCUAUCAGGGGGAGGUAGCCGCCGACGUCGGGGUGUAUCUCUCCAGCCUCCGAUAUGCCGCCGUCGCCGCCGACGCCGACGGCAAUGUCGUCGCGGCCCAUCAUGUAGAGGAUGUCGUAGAGCUGGUCGACGCCGUGGCCGGCGUCGAUCCAUGCGUUGGCGCUGAUGGUAAUGGCCUACGCACAGUGUACGUACGUUCACAUCACAACUUAUCAGAGUAAUGCACUACUACUAGUAGAGUCUAGAGAGGGAGAGAAAAUCCGACGCAGUCAAAGGCCAAGAUGCGCCAUCGUUGUCCUAUCUAAAUGGCUUCCUCUUUUCCUCUCCAAAGAUUGAACGCCUUCCUCUUUCUCUCUCUGAGAAGAGUGUAAACCGCCUCUCCUUUUACAAACCUAUAAUUAACUAAUCGGCAAUGUCGACAAUGCAAACAAUCAUUCGAGCCGGCGCACGCGCGCAUGCAUACGACGAUGGAGAGAUCCAGCGGCCGUUUUCCACCAAAAGGUAACGUAUAUGCACGAGCGAACACGACCGGGCCGAUGCGAUCAGCAGAACAUUCUGAUUCGCAAAUACAAAAUUUUUAAAAAAUCACCAGGACAGAUGAUCGGAGAUCGAUUACUGGGAGGCGAUUACGAGUGCCACGACGCAUAGCAUGCAGCACGAGAGCGGGACGGAGGAGGACACGGCACCAAAUUACCUUGACGUCGAAUUGGGAGCGGUCCUGCUUGAGGAUGUAGAGCAGCGCGAAGAGGUCGUCGGUGUCCAUGUCCGUGUCCACCAGGAUCCUCCUCGGCGGCGGCGCCCCCGCCGCGGCCACGCCGGCGACCGCAAAGAGGGACACCAGAGCCACGGCGGCCGUCCAUGACGGUGAACUCGUCCUCCUCGCCUUCUCCAUGAGGAGAAGGCGGUGCUACGACUACUACGGACUAUACUAGGGGGGCGGUUGCCAGUUGGUGCCUAGCUCUCUAGCUAUGGCUUUCUGCAUGAUGGGUGCGCCUCUUAUGGGAGAGAAGAUGGUUCGAUCGCGUCCUUCUCCGUGGGCAUUAAUGGGAGGGGAUUGGAAACAAUUGUAUACGGGUACGAUUAUUAAUAACCACAAUCACGCAAAUGCAAGGAUAAGCACGUUUCUUGGACCGUCGACCGAUCCAUCCAUCGACGGCUCGGAUCGAAAGCUCGACCCUAUUUUGUUUCGACACCAUCGUUUCAGAUGUGAGGAACUACAAGGGGCAUCUCAGGGGUUUAUCUAAUCGUAUAUGGUCAUGGACACGUUCGAACGUAUGCGCGGUCACAUCUCUUCUUGUCUUAAACUUCCUACUUUUUUAAGGGCAUCCAUCUCAUUUGUAUAUGUUAAACAUCACGUAAUAAUCACAUCCGUUCGACCACAUCUAUUCAAUGGCCUACAUCGCUCUGAUGUUUAGCACUAAACACGUUUAGCACCCUCCAUUAAUAAACAAAAUACAUAAUAUCAAUGUUAGUAGCAUUAGCCAAGUAAUUGUAUUCUACCUAAUAUUAACAUGCAAUUUAUAUCUUGCUAAUAUUAACAUNNNNNNNNNNNNNNNNNNNNNNNNNNNNNNNNNNNNNNNNNNNNNNNNNNNNNNNNNNNNNNNNNNNNNNNNNNNNNNNNNNNNNNNNNNNNNNNNNNNNNNNNNNNNNNNNNNNNNNNNNNNNNNNNNNNNNNNNNNNNNNNNNNNNNNNNNNNNNNNNNNNNNNNNNNNNNNNNNNNNNNNNNNNNNNNNNNNNNNNNNNNNNNNNNNNNNNNNNNNNNNNNNNNNNNNNNNNNNNNNNNNNNNNNNNNNNNNNNNNNNNNNNNNNNNNNNNNNNNNNNNNNNNNNNNNNNNNNNNNNNNNNNNNNNNNNNNNNNNNNNNNNNNNNNNNNNNNNNNNNNNNNNNNNNNNNNNNNNNNNNNNNNNNNNNNNNNNNNNNNNNNNNNNNNNNNNNNNNNNUGUCAAAAAAGUCUUACAUUGUUGGACGGAGGUAGUACUAGUUUACCAAAGUACUUCUAAUAAGAUAGUAUUUGAAAAGACCUUCUCGGAUGUGGCAUUGGCCGUUGCAACUUGCGAGUCAACGCGUUGUAAGUAGAAGAGGGCAUCGUGGUAGCGCGCCAUGGCGACCGCCUCGUUGUCUUCCGUAUCAGUUGCCUGGACUUUGGCCUCGACGGCGGCCUUGUGGGCAACGUACCGGCGGGCAGCGGGGAUGCGUUCAUCCCGACACCGGAUAGGACAUCAAGGGGCAUUGGCCAUGAUCUCCUCGGAGUUGUGGCGGGUGGCAGCCUAGCAUUCAGCAACAUCAGGGACAACAACGACCCGGUGACGGGCAGCGAAUUCCUCCUCCUUGGUGACCCGAAGGGUGGCGCGUACCUCGCUCUUGGCUCGGGAGGCAUCAUGGGGCGGUGCUCCCUUCCUCCUCCUUAGCUUUAGGCGACACACUCCUCGCGAGUGAGGGCAACGCUAGGGGCGGUGCUCCAUGGCAUGGCGGAUCAAUGCGGAGACGGGCAACCCUCUUGGUGGUCUGAAGGGAAACAUGGCAAGAAAGAGAGGGUGGCGACAUGACGAAGGUGAGGUUGGUGAAGUGUGGCGAACAAAGAGGACAACCGGGGAAAACUUAUGGUUUUAGCGGAGGGCUCCAACAGGAAAUCAGGCAGAAGGGGAGGGAUUCGGGGGUAAAUGGAAUGGGUGUGCCUCGGGGUGGGGUUUUGGGUAGGGCACGCGUGUCCAACCUGACAGCCCGGACAUGUCCGGGCAACCCCGUUUCCUCACGUAUGGGUUUGAAUUGGGCAUUCAUAGAUCUUCUGGAUAUUUGGAACAAGUUUGGAAACCUCAUUGGGCAAUCUUUUUUGUGUCCGCACAUGUGCAAACGAACAUACGGGGAAAGUGGGCUAUGUCCUAUGAAAACCAACCAAUAUUCAGUCCUAUUUUUCUUAUACAAGUAUCCAGGUCUAAGCUUUUUUUUCAAGGAAAAACUUCCAAUCUAUUCAUCAAACAUCAUGGCAGUACAAAAAGUACCAAAAUAAAAAAAAUACAUCCAAUGUCAAUAGACCACCUAGCGUCAAGUACAAUCAUUGGAGUGAGCCGUCAUCGCCCCUCACCCACCAAAGCAGGGCAACCCUUGUUAUAGUAGACAGUCGAAAAGUCGUCAUGCUAAGACCCCAAAGGACUAGAGUAGCAACCAUCGCCAAUGGGGAGAAGCGUAGAUUAGAAAGAUCCAACUUAGAGACACACAAAUGCAGAUGAAGGAAGACCGGAUCCAUGCAGAUUCACCAAAGACAAACACCGACCAAAUUCCGCAAGAUCCACCGGAGACAACCCUCCACGCGCCCUCCAAUGACGUGGGAUGCACCACUGGGAUGGAGUGUCGUGAAAAGAACUUUAUCCCAUCUUCAGAGAGCCGUCGCCGCCUCACCUUUUUGAGUAGGACACAAAACCUAAACAGAUUAGAAAACACAUAAAAGCAAAGUAGGAGCCCUUCGACUGGUAAGGGCCCAGGAUCCACCAUGCCUCUAUGGGCCUAAGGCCACAGGAGACGAGCUGGCCGGAGGCAUGAAAACCAUAGAUGCCUGAAGUCACUUGUGGGAAAAGUUUGGUCAACUGGAACAAGUUUGCUCGCCUGGAAGAUAUGGGGGAUUGGGAAUCAAGAACAUUGAAUGCUUCAGUCGAGCCAUGCAGAUACAUUGGGAUUCCGUUGGCAUGAAGGGAACAGACCAUGGAAAGGAUUUGCAACAUCAUGUGAUGACACAAAUAGGCAGUUGUUCUACAAUUGCACUAAAAUUCAGUUGGGAGAUGGGAGCAUUGCAAGUUUCUGGAAAGGCCAAUGGUUUAACAGUGAGGCACCAAAUAUAGUGGCUCAUAAAUUGUUCAAAUAGGCAAGGUUCAAGAAAGUUACAGUUAAGGAUGGGUUGCAUACUGGAAGGUGGAUGCAAGGGCUCCAAAGAAUGGACAAUAAGGAGCGGUUGGCUCAGUUUGUCAAAUUAUGGAAAGGGGUGCAAAUGAUCAAUUUGUUGGCGGAGAAAGACACCAUCGUUUGGAAUCUCACUGUCAAUGGGGCCUACACCACACACUCAGCUUAUGAGGCUUAGUUUCUGGCAAAGAUUGAACAAUCGGGAUCGGCAAGGGUGUGGACAUGUAAGAUGGAAGGAAAAGUGAGGUUUUACACGUGUUUUGCUGCAAAAUAGGAACUGGGCGACCGAUUGAUUGCACGCGAGAGGAUGGCCUCACAAUGAUCUAUGCAAACUCUGUGACGAAGAGCUUGAAACCUUUCACUCCUUGCUCUUCAGCAUGUACUCAUGCGAGGGACUCUCAAAUCUCUAUUUCAUACCAUAAUCUUUCGAUCCCUUUACCCGUUUAACGAAGUGAUUGAUAGCAGGGCUAGACAAAAAAAA